GCCAAAACUAAGGCUCCACAAUUAUCUUUCCGGUAGCAUGGCCAUCGCUGAUCCUAUCCCAAGCGUCCUCCGCCUUGGCCAAGGGAUACUUUGAGUCAAUUAUAGUCUUCAGCUUCCCUUCUUUCACCAACUUAAUAAGAUACUCAAGGUUAUCAGCCGUGGGAAAUAAGAACAGUGGCACCAGUUGCUUCUUAGAAAAGGUAAGUUUCUUCAGUGCAACGCUAAACAGAGAGCUGGGGGUGGGAGUAACAUCUAUUACCUUACCGUUCGCACUCAAAUUAGGCUCAAAAGUUGACCAAGGAAUGCAUGUUGCACAGUGGAUCACAACAUCAUAUUUUCGACCAGAUGGACUCCUAAGAGCUGCACCUUCUGGGGUCUUGUAGUCAAUAACCUCAUCAGCCCCUAGGCUUUUGACCAGUUCAAUGUUGCGGGCACCACAAGUGGCUGUAAUAUGAGUAUUUCCAAGCUUUGCCAACUGAACCGCGUAGAGACCUACACCACCUGAAGCAGCUGUGAUCAGGAUGUUUGCUUGCUGACCACUUCCAUCAAGCUUGAUCCCUGCAGUUUGUGUAAGAGCCUGGUGAGCUGUGAGACCAGCAACGGGUAAUCCUACAGCGUUGGCUGCUGAAACUUCCGAUGGCCUUGCAACAGUUAAACUCUCCAUUGUCACGGCAAAUUCAGCUAGUCCACCUCCAGUCUUUGAUUCAUUGUCGAAGAACAGAAUGAGACAAAAAGGGACAUGGUAUGUAUCAAUGAAUGAUGCAUCAGAUAUCUAGGUGACACAUUCUGUCACUGGGUUUGCAUAUUAAGCACACCAAAAGUGGUUUUUACAUGCAAUAGUUCAGUCUCAUGCCGACUGGAAUGACACUAGGGAAAGAGGCACACAAAGUCGAUGAAGGGGUUAACGAGGGGUUUACAAAUACAACAAUUCAGAUUUGGAACAAAUGGAUUCAACUUUUCAAAUUAGUAGAAUACUUAUUCAGAUAUCAUUGAUGAAAAUAAUAGUUCUAAAUUAAGUUAAAUCCAUCUAUAUGCAUGUUUCCUAGAUGUAUGUGGAGCCUAAAAGAUGCUAUUUCCAAAACAUGAUAUGGAAGCUUAAUUCCCUUUUUCUGAAUUAUGUUAUCCUUUCAGUUAAAUUUUAAUUCGCCGAAAACGAAGACUAAAUUUGAAGAAUUUCAAGUGAAACAGAGAAAAUGAGCUAGUAUACAAGGGAACUUACAAGAGUGUUAACCUUUCCAACAACUUUGUCACCAGGUUUGAAUUUUUUUACUCCAGGUCCUACCUUUACAACCUUUCCUGCCACAUCAAUACCUGUUCCGAGUUCCACCAAUGAAUAUCUUCAGUUAACAAAACGACUUCUCACAAAAUGUGGUCCUGUGAAAACUUCUACAUAAAACAUGUUAAGAAAUGCAUCCCACCCUUUCCCCUUGAAGAACUCGAAAAACUAUGCUAUAAUAUCAGUGUUUACGUAAGAAUCUCUCCCCGGAAAACACACAAAUCCAGAAGUUUAUUAGAUGAAAUGAACAAGAAACAGCACAUUCAAAUGCAAAGUAUUAGCGUGUUUAAGCAUUUAUCUAACAUUCGUACUACUUUUCAAGAAGAAGAUCAAAUAAUGCAUGGAAUGAAGCAUAAUUACGUAAAGAGUUAUAAACACAAAAUGGAUCCCCUAAGUAGCAGCGUCUCAAGACAGCCAAACCAAAUUACCAGGUAUGUGCGGAAACCUGCGAGGCAACAAAGGCCAGAGCAUGCCUUUCUGAGCUUUCCAAUCAAUUGCGUUUAGACUAGUUGCCUCCAAUUUCAGCAGCACCUCAUCUUUUUUCGGAUUUGGAAUUGGAACUUCAACAUGCUGCAAUAAGGCCAAUGUCAUGACAAGAAUGUGUUCUGCAAAGUUCUUCAAAGCAAAAGCGGCAAAAUGCAAUGUAUCCACAUAAUACACCAACAACUUUGUUUAACAAAACCUAGUAAUGGAGUAAAUCCCUGUUACUAUUUCUUUCAUCAUGUGAUUCAGAUAAAAACAAUAAAAGUAAAAGAUAAAAGAUAAAACCUCUGCCUUUAUCCUUUCCUUCCCAACAUUGCAAUGACUCAAUCAAGUACUCGUAUUCCAAGUGGGAUUGCAGUUAUUAAACUGAAAAUAUGACUUCACCCGUGAAACAUAGAUUUUUCUUCUAAAACCCGACAUAAUUGUUUUACUUGAUUAAAGCCCGGCAAUUAGGAUCCCCAUAAGCAUAUUCCUUAAUUAAGCUUGAAUACAAAUAUUUUACAUGUUUCCAAUGGCUAUAUUAUCCCUAAUAACAAUUGGAUUGAGACAUUUAUUUUCCUAUUCUAUAUUAUCCCUAAAUGGGUACAUUAAUGAUAUAUAAAUAGACAAACAUUAUGAAACUCAUUGAAGGCGCAAAACAAGGAGUAAAUCUUUGAUAUUGACAUGAUUGGAGAAUACUUGCAAUUUUGUAAAAUGAUUGCAGUAAUGGGUCAACUAUUUCUCUAGCUUGCAACUCAUAUUAAAUUUUGGGUUUUAUUUAGAGGUUAAGAAGUGCACGGGUAUAUUGAACUCCCGAAAAAAAAAAUAACAAACAAGUGAGUUUGCGUUUAUGAAAUAAGAGUUACAAGUCUAUAAACAACCUUUAAACCAGAAGUUCCGCCCCCAUAGUUGUCGUACUGAACCGCAUGCAUGGUCUCAUUGGCCAUAGUCUCUCAGUUGUAAGUCCAACUAACGUUUCGAAGAGCCGCAGAAACUUGAAGCUCCUCCCUCCCGGAUUCUAUGAAGUGCAGAGCUUAUGCUAGUAGUACAGCAAUGGAAUCGUUAGUCCAUGUCUAAUGUGGAAUAAACUAAUACACGUGAUUCAUAAGGAUGUUGACUCAUAGGCCCAUGUCUAUUGUGGAACAAACUAAUACACGUGAUGUUGACUCGUUGGCACAACUAAUUCACGUGAUCAUAAUGAUGUGGGCGGUACAAUAGAUACAUGGUCUCCAUGUUAAAUAGACAAUACGUGGUCCAUAUGUUAAAUAGACAAUACCACAAGUAGAUGGUGCCUAUGUUAAAUAGACAAUACGUAUGCGGUCCAUAUGUUAAAUAUACAAUAAGUGGAUGCAGUGGUGAUGCCAAGAUUUGCCGAGGAGAGGGGUGAAAUUCAAGAGAGUGUAAGAUUCAAUUGAAUGCGGUUGCUUUUAUAUUGGAGAGUGCAAAGUUUUGAGUCAAUAUUCAUAGCAGAAAAUAGUAUCUACACCAAAGCGGUUGUAAGCAGUAAUAUCAAAAUCAAUGUAAUAAGCUUAAAUUGGCUAGGAUUAUGUUUCAAAAAAAAACGCUAGUCAGGCAACGGGCUGGAACCUAGUAAUUAGACACCUAGGCGAGAUCUAGACAAGAGCCCAGUAGGAUUUAAAUGAAUUUCUUUUUGUAAAAUGAUUGCAGUAAUGGGUCAACUAUUUCUCUAGCUUGCAACUCAUAUUAAAUUUUGGAUUUUAUUUAGAGGUUAAGAAGUGCACGGGUAUAUUGAACUCCCGAAAAAAAAAAAAAAAAAGAUAGGUGAGUUUACGUUUAUGAAAUAAGAGUUACAAGUCUAUAAACAACCCAUAAACCAGAAGUUCCGCCGUCAUAGUUGUCGUACAGAACCGCGUGCAUGGUCUCAUUGGCCAUAGUCUCUCAGUUGUAAGUCCAACCAACGUUCAAAAGAGCCGCAGAAACUUAAAGCUCUUCCCUCCCGGAUUUUAUCAAAUACAGAGCUUAUGCUAGUACAGCAAUAGACUCAUUAGCCCAUGUCUAUAGUGGAACAAAUAAUACGCGUGAUUCGUAAUGAUGUUGACUGAUUGACCCUUGUCUAUUGUGGAACAAAUACAUGUGAUUCAUGGGCUAUAGUGGAACAAAUAAUGCGUGAUUCAUAAUGAUGUUGACUGAUUGAUCCUUGUCAAUCAUGGAACAAAUACACAUGAUUCAUAUUGAUGUAGACAGUAAUUUCAGUAUAUGGUCCCCAUGGUAAAUGUACAGUACAUAUGUGGUCCACAUGUUAAAUAGACGAUCAAUAAGUAUAUGGUCCCUAUGUUAAAUAGACAGCAUGUAUGUUGUCCAUAUGUUAAAUAUACAAUAAGUGUAUGCAGUGGCGAAACUAGGAUUUACCGAGAAGAGAGGUGAAAUUCAAAAUAGUGCAAGAUUCAAUCGAAACAGUUGCUUUUAUAUUGGAAGAGUGUAAAGUUUUGAGUCAAUAUUCAUAGCAGAAAAUAAUCUCUCCACCAAAACCGUUGUAAGCUGUAAUAUCAAAGUCAAUAUAAUAAGCUUAAAUUGGCUAGGUUUAUAUUCUAAAAAAAAGACGCUAGUCAAACAGCGGACUGGAACCUAGUAGCUAGGCGCCUAGGAGAAAUCUAGGCAGGAGCCUAGUGGGAUUUAAAUGAAUUUCUUUUAUCAUUAUAAGCCUAUUUGAUUAAACGAUCUAGGGUUUAGAGAGAGAGGGGACCGGCUAUGGUUAGAGAGAAGAGAGAGUGAUUUAAUUGUGAGGUGUGUUUGAUUCAACCCAUUGUGGUUCAUAUGUUAAAUAGACGAUACAAUAAGUCCCCAUGUUAAAUGUACAGUACGUAUGUGGUCCAUAGACUUGGCAUUCGUGUCAUGUUUUUCGUAUUCGUGUCGAUUUCGUGUCAUACCCGAUAUCUUAACGGGUCGUGUCGUGUAACACCCGUUAAAAUAAACGGGUAAAAUGAUCCGAUCUGAAAUCGACCCGAUAAUAUAAACAGGUAAUAUGACCCGACCUGUUACCCAUUAAGGAAAAUAUAUUUUAAACCAAUAAAUAAUCAAAUGAAAAACAUAAUACUAAAUAAGUAUAUACAUACCAUAUUGUCACAUCCAAAACAUAAAAACGCAUUUUUCUUUUAAGUAUAUUUUCACUUACCUAAAGUCUUUAAUAGUUUUUAAUUAAUGUAGAAGUGUAAAAAAAUAUAGAAAAAAAUAUAUAAACGCUCGUAAUGACAAGCUUUACAACUUUCAUGAAGAGCUUAACUUCGAAAUUUGCUACUAUAAUCAUAUAAAUCAUAUAUCAAAAUUUAACUGUUGAUUGUUGUUUACAUUUACGCUUCAUUGUUCUCAUCAAAUUGUUUUUUCAGAUUUUCUUUUUUGAAAACUUGAUCCAUUAGAGGAUGCAUGAAGAUAAACGGUUUGGAUCGUUAAUAUUAUAUUUAGAGUUUUACGAUUAGUAAAAAUAUUGCUUGAUGUUUAUAAAAUUUCUACAAACUAUAUGACAUCGACUCAUAUUUCAGUUAACCGUAAAUAUCGAAAUGUGAUAUCAAAGAUAUGAACCGUUCAUCUUCUUACAUCUGCUAGAUAAUCAUGUUAAAAAGAAAAUUUUUAAAAUAAAAUUCAGUAAGAAGAAUAAAGUGUAAAUGACAAUCGACAGUUAAAUAUAAAUUUAAGGUUUAUAAAUUAUAGUGUCGGAUUUCGAAGCUGACCCGUCAUGAAAGUUGUAAAGUUUGUCACUAUGAGUGAUUUUAUUUUUUAUUUUUUACACUUCUACAAUAAUUAUUAUUAAUUUUAUUAAUUUUGUCCUCAAAUAAAAAAUAUUAUUCGUGAAGGUUUGGAGGAUUUUAAAAAUCUAAACGAUAAUGUAAGUGUAACAAUUAUCUACUCGUGGAGGAAUAAUGAUGAAUUACAAGUGUUUAUAUAUUCUUUCACAUUUUUCAUACUUGUAUGUAUGUCUUCUUAGUUCUUGCAUAUACAAAUACUAUAUUAGUUUAUUUUAAUUUUGGACAACAUCGUGUUAAGUAAAAUUUAUAGCCCUGGUGAAUCAUACGAUGAUGGUAAAAGGGAGACUAAAAUUCCUCUGUGAGUUUUCCUGGCUCCCAAAAAUGUGGGCUACCAUGACGAAGCCAAUUUGUCCCUUUUUUGAAAGAAAAAAAUACACAUGAUUCAUGUUAAUAUAAUAAAAUUAGUAUUUUGUCGAUCUUGUAUUUCCACAAACUAAUUCAUGUUAUCUGUAUUUUUUUGAUCUUGUAUUUCCACAAACUAAUACACUACUACGAAACCAUUUACUACUGUCGCUAUGAUAACUGACAAGAAACGUAUAUUACUAUCAGAUAUUAAGCAAAAUUCAACAGAAAAUGGAUGCAGUGGCGGUUAUAAUAAGUGACAUAAUUGCUAGCGUUAGGAAAUGAAUUUUCCAACAGAAAAUACUCUAAAAUAGACAGAAAUUGUGUCGGAUAUAACCGACAAAGAAUACAUUAAUACUGAAUAAAUCAGAGCAUUCUCUGUCGAAUAAAACCAACAAAAAAUAUAUUAAUAAAAAGAAAUAUAAACCACUUUCUGAAUCAUUUCUUUCCCUUUCAAGUUAGCCUUCCCUGCAUUCAUUGCAUUUUCCAGCUUUGAGAUAUGCAACGUUCCUCUAAGGUACACCAUAUUCUUCAUUUCUUCAAGUUUGUUUCCUAUUUCGCAGCUAACCUGAAUAUAUUUAUAGACAGAAGUUUGACCCCCAACAACAAGAAAAGGAUUGGAAAGACAGAUAAAUAUAUUUGAAAAAGAAAAGAAAAAGACAAAUCGGAAAUCUGGGCAAGUUAUGCAACCGCCUACACUACUCCCCGGGGGUUACAGUUCAGGCAGUGCUCCUGUUCUCCGACACUCUCCUUUCUUCACCACCUUUAUCAUCACAAACCUUGUCUCGCUGAUCAGCUCAUUGUCUUUUCUCGUCACGUUUCUCUCGAUCUUGACAUCUCAAUUUGAGUACAAAAACUUCCAUCAAUCUCUUCUGCUCAGGCUGCAUUUAGGAUUUGCCUUUCUUUUCUUCUCGCUAGUGACGACCAGGCUCUCAUUCAUUGCUACAGUUGUGCUCUUGAUUCAUCUCGAUGAGGAAUUAACAACGUCUCUCCUUUACGUUGUUGCCUUUUUUCCUGUGUUUGUAUUUGGGCUCAUACAACAACUUCCUUUGUAUGCUGGAUUUUCUCAUGCUUUGAUAUUUCUAUUUAAGAAAGUUAAGAAGUUUAUAAUUUCUAUUUAAAACACAAACUGAACGUAAUACAAAUAAUUUAAAACGUACUGGUUUUGAAAUGUUGCUUCUCGAAUUGUUUAUCCAUGGUGAUUGAAGCGAGAAUGAGAAUGAAAUGAAGAGAGGAGAAAAGGGAGAAGGAAGGGAGAAGGCACCGGUGCAAGGAAGAGAUUGAGGGGUUUUAUUUUGGAAAAUUUUCAUUACUGCCGGUUAUAAUCGAUAGAAAAAAAUGGCGGCAAAAAUCCUCCCAAAAUUUUAAAAGGAAAACUAAUGAAAAGGGCUUGAAAACUUUGAGUUUUAAUGAUAAGGACAAAAUAAAGGGUAAAGUGAAUAGUACCAGGUGCUUUUCGUUAAAGUUCCCAAUUUUAAAUCCCCCCCCCCAAAUUUUGUUACGAUUUAAAAAAAUAAAAUAAAUUGAACGGAGAUAUGCAUUCUACGAAACUAGUUUCCAUGAUCUAACCGUCAAACAUGUUUGUAGAUACUACAAGAUCGCAUAUAUAAAAAAUCGCAAAAAAAAAAAAUAAUAAUAAUAAGAUAUUAGGUAAUAGAACAAAAGUUUUUUACGGUUAUAAAUGAAAAAUCACAAUUUAACGGUUAUUUUAGCUCCGGUUUUGAUGAUUUUUUUACAGCUACACUCAUCGACCCUAUAAGAAUUCAAUGAACGAAUUCGAUCUUCAAUUUAAAAUAUUUACACUAGUGGAUACCACAAAAUCUUAUUUUAUACUUAAUGGAAGUACAAUAUUAACUCUAAGUGUUUGUUUAAUCUACCGUUUUGACGUGAUAUGCAUUCUACGAAACUUUUUUCAACGAUCCAACCAUCAAACAUAUUUGUACACACUCCGAGAUAGCAUACGUAAAAAAUCAUAAAAAAUAAACAUUCAAAGAUUACGUAACGGAACAAAAGUUUUCAACGGUUAUAAACAAAAAAUCACAAUUUAACGGUUAUUUUAGUUCUGAUUGUAAUGAUUUUUUACAGCUACACUGCUCGACCCUAUAAGAAUGUCAUAAAUAAAUUUGAUCUUCAAUUUAAAAUAUUUAUACUAGUGGAUACCACAAAAUCUUAAUUUAUACUUAAUGGAAGUAAAACAUUAACUAUUUAAGUGUUUAUUUAAUCUACCAUUUUGACGUGAUAUAUAUUCUACAAAACUUUUUUCAAUGAUCUAACCAUCAAACUUGUUUGUACACACUCCGAGAUCGCAUACGUAAAAAAUAAAAAUAAAACAAACAUUCAGAGAUUAGGUAAUAGAACAAAAAAUUUCGACGAUUAUAAACGAAAAAUCACAAUUUAACUUUUAUUUUAGCUCCGAUUUUGAUGAUUUUUUUACAGAUACACUCCUCGACCCUAUAAGAAUGUAUUGAACGAAUUCGAUUUCAUUUAAAAUAUUUACACUAGUGGAUACCACAAAUCUUAUUUUAAACUUGAUGGGGAAGUAUAAUAUAUUAACUCUAAGUGUUUGUUUAAUCUACCGUUUUGAUGCGAUACGCAUUCUAUGAAACGUUUUUCAAUGAUCCAACCAUCAAAAUUGUUUGUACACACUCCGAGAUCGCAUACGUAAAAAAUCGCAAAAAACAAAGAUUUAGAGAUUAGGUAAUGGAACAAAAGUUUUCGAUGGUUAUAAACAAAAAAUCACAAUUUAACGGUUAUUUUAGCUCUGAUUUUGAUGACUUUCUACUGCUACACUCCUUCACCCCUAUAAGAAUGCAAUGAAUGAAUUCGAUCUUCAAUUUAAAAUAUUUACUCUAGUGGAUAAAUCUUAUUUUAUACCUAAUGGAAGUAUAACAUUAACUCUUAAGUGUUUGUAAAAUCUAUCAAUUUGAUAGGAUAUGCAUUCUACGAAACUAGUUUCAACGAUCCAAUCGUCAAACAUGUUUGUAUAUACUUUGAGAUAGCAUGUGUGAAAAAUCGCAAAAAAAAAAACAAAAACAAAAACAUUCAGAGAUUAGGUAAUGGGACCCUGAGUGAAAAAAAAAAAAAAAACAUUCAGAGAUUAUUCUAGCAGCCGCCCAAAAUUUUGCUUUGUUUGUGUCGGUUAUAUCUGACAAGGCCAUGAGUGAAAAAAAAUAUUUAAACCAUGUGUUUAUUUAUUUUUAAUCAAUAUAACAUUUUAAAAUAAUAAAAUAGUCAAUUUAUGUAGGUUAUAACCACCAGAAUACUAAAAUAAUAACCGCUAGAAACUAAAAUAAUAAAAUAGUCAAUUUAUGUCGGUUAUAACCACCACCAUUAACUUAAAAACUGUCGGAAUAUGUUAAAAAUAUUUAUAAAAAAAAGAAUUCAAAAAUACUAGCGGUUAUAAUAAUUUUAUGGCUAUUGCAUUCGACAGUAAAUAUCCGUCAGGAAUUUAUGUCGAAUAUAACCGACAGGAUUUCAUUGUUAUUCAACACUAACUAAGUGAUGUGUCAGAUAUCUUUUAUCCGACAUAAUGACUUAUUAAACCACCACCAUCAUCCGACACCUAAAGCUAAUAUUGUAGUAGUGAUACACACGUUAUAUGUAGUCAGUAUUUUGUUGAUCUUGUAUUCUUGUUGAAAUUUCAUCUUCUAGAAAAUUAUGUUGGCCUGUCAUAUUUUUGAGACACUUAACCUAACUUUUCGAUAAAGUUGCACAUUUCGAGAAACGAAAACUAUAAUGAACAACUAGCAUUUGCCUACACACUUUGUGUGUAUGAACACGUAUUUUUUUAGAAAAUGAGAAGGAGAGAGAGAGAGAACGUGAGGGGAGUGGGAGGUUUUUUUUUUUGUUUUUUGUUUUAUUUUAAAUAUUGAAGGUAUUUUAACAUUACCUAUAGGUAAGGCUUCAACAAAAAAACAGUAAAAUUUGGACCUGUGAAAUUACAUUAUUGCUCAUCAUUUUUUAUUGUGUGAUAGAAGACUAAGUAGUGUUUUCACCAUCUUUUGGUUGACAAAGAGGUUUUCAUUAAUUAAUAGAGAUAAGAAUGAAAAAAUAAUAGAAAAAAUAAAAACUUUAAGGAAAAAUUAAUAUCUGAUUCCUAGUUUUUUAUUUCAUAUAUUAACUGAGACCUUAUUAGUUUUUAGAUUUUGAUCAAAGUCCCUAGCAUUCAUCUAUUAAUAAAUUACAUGUCAGUUACAUUAUUUUUUUAAAUACAAAUUAGUAAUUGAUUUAGGGUUUUAAUGCUGACAUCCUUAUUAAACUCCUAAUUAAUUUUCAAUUCAAAAAAUUUUCAAAAUAUAAAAAAUAAAAUUAGAAUAAGUUUGUACCCAUUAAUGUUUUAUAAAAAAAAAUUUCAAUUUUUUAAUCUUACAUGUAACCAUUUAUAUAAUUCUUCUAUUUCUCUAAUCUUAAAUGUACUUAUUCUUAGAUAUACCAAUUUGUUAUCUAUAAAAUGUACCUUUAUAUAUAUAUAUAUAUAUAUAUAUAUAUAUAUAUAUAUAUAUAUAAUUCAUUCAAUCUUUUUUUUAAUUCAUUUUUUAAAUUUAUAUGGGUACAUUCUAUUUCGUUGAUUUGAGAAUGAAUUUAUGUCAAGUUUAAUAGAAGAAAUUUAAUAUGUACCCAUGUUUUGGUGCAAUAAUUUUUUUGUUAGUUUUGAUGAACGUACCCAUGUAUGUGUGUGCACACACAGACACACACACACAAUAUAUAUUGGAGAGUAUAAUUUAUCUUUAAUAUUUUUUUUAUCCCAUAAAUUAUAGGUUUUAUUUAAAUCUCAUUAAUAUAAAUAACUACAAAUUUCAUUUUUAAUUUAAAAAUAAAAUAACUACAUUAUUACAUUAAUGUCAGGAACUUCGAUAAAAAAACUGAAAAUCACAAGAGUUUUAGUAAAAAAACAUUGAUAAUUAGGGCCCACAUCCAAAGUCUCCAAAAAUUUAAUGACUGAGGCAAUAUUGGAUUCAAAAUUUAAACUUUGGCUCUUUUAAUUUAAAAACCUAAAUUUUUAAAAUAGAAAUUUUAGCGCGUGAGCAAAUUUCAGUUGAUUCAUGGAGAUAUUUCAUUGAACACUUAGUGAGUUUGUUGUCGUCAGAUGAACCAUAUUACGAAUAUGUUAACAUAUAUUAACAUUUGCUAAAGCUAUAUAAUGAGUGCUAUUGAUAGCAUUCGUGGUUAGAUUUUGCUUCGUGAUCAUAGCAAAGCUUCAACAAGUUCUGAACUCAAUUGCUUUAUUAUAUUCUAUGCGUUUUCUUCAACAAAGUUAGGCUGAAAGAAUCGUUCACAUAACAUAUUUGUCUCCUGAACAAGUCUUUCUUCCUUAAUUUUUCAAUAUUGACAAAACAAAAAAACAAAAAAAAAGCUACGAGAUAAUCAUACUAACUGAACAAGUUGCUCCCAUACAACGGUUAUCAGUGUUGACUCGUCACGCACACAAAGCUUUCGAACAACUAUAACAAAAAAGGCCCACAUUUCUCAAACUGUCUCGGAAGUUCGACUACCAUGGCGGAGAGCUUAUGCACGCGGUUCAAGUACAACCUGCUAUGGAAGUGUUUAAAGAUUGAGAAAAAGUGGUGAUUCGUUAAGUAAAUUUUAUGUUUGUUGCAAACAUUGUUUUAAAAACUUCCAUCUAAGUGCUACUCGGCUAGUCACUACCCCGAUUAAUCCCUAAACGUUUGAAAAUAAAAAUGGCACCUAGACCUACCUAAGCACCUACCUAGAUCGCCUAAGCGCCCUAGCCCACCCAAACCCACCUAGGUCGUGACUCACUUAGAAAAUAAAUAACUUUCGUUUUGCUUUUUAUUUUUUUCAAUAAAUUGUAAGAGACUAGUCGAAUACUUAGAUUAACACAUAUUAUAUGCUUGUUCUCCACGCAUUUUGCUCUCUUGAACUCUACCCUUCUGUCCUAGCUUCUUCACCCUCCCCCGUCUAAUAGGAUCAAAGUACUUCUUUUUGUGUGUCCCGGGUAAAGUUGAUAGGAGCAUAUGCUCCCAAACAACUUUGAGUGGAGUCGUUCGAAAAGAAGUUUCUAUGGCCCCCUUGCUCAUUUAACACUGCAUCCGGGUGCCGAUGGAGAUACAGCGACCCUUGCUCACUUAUCACUGUGCUCGGGCCGCACAGCGCGCCACUUACGGGUGACGCCCUAGCUUUAGCGCUAUUUUGUUCUGGAUUCAUUUUCAUAAGGAUUCGACGUGAUCAUGGAGUGCCGGCUGUCGACUAGGAACGUGGAAUAUAGGAACCUUAACGGGAAAAUCUAUGGAAGUAGUGGAAGUUAUGGUGAGGAGAAGAAUAAAUAUUAUGUGCCUACAAGAAACUAAGUGGGUUGGUAGUAAGGCAAAGGAUCUAGAAAACUCAGGGUUUAAACUUUGGUAUUCGGGCACACAUAGAACGAGAAACGGUGUUGGCAUCAUCGUGGACAAGACCUUGGUACAAGAUGUUGUAGAUGUCAAAGAGGGUAGGAGAUAGAAUCAUGGCAAUCAAGAUUGUAAUAGGACAAGAACUUAUCAAUGUGAUUAGUGCGUACGCACCUCAAGUAGGGUUGGAUACGAGGUCGAAGGGAGAAAUUUUGGGAAGAUCUUGGAGACUUGGUGCAAGGAAUUGCUCAGACGGAGAAGUUAUUUAUAGGAGGAGAUUUAAAUGGACACGUGGGCAGGGAGACAGGCAACUAUGGAGGUUUUCAUGGUGGCCAUGGUUUUGGGGAGAGAAACGAGGAUGGGGAAGCUAUCUUGGAUUUUGCAAUGGCAUUUGAUCUCUUCUUAGCCAACACCUUCUUUAAGAAGAGAGAAGAACAUGUGAUCACCUACAAGAGUGGGUCGUCAAAAACACAAAUAGAUUUUCUUCUAAUGAGGAAAGGGGAUCGUAUAACUUGUAAGGAUUGCAAAGUUAUACCAGGAGAGAGCGUGGCUAAUCAACAUCGCUUGUUGGUGAUGGAUGUACAUAUCAAAAGAGUGAGACAAAAGAACAAGACUUGGAAGUGCCCAAGGACUAGAUGGUGGAAUCUAAAAGAAGAAAAACAAGCCAUUUUCAAAGAGAAAGUAAUCACCCAGUGUGUGUGGGAUAGAGAGGGGGAAGCUAGCCAAAUGUGGGAUUCCAUGGCUAGUUGUAUCCGAAAAGUAGCAAAAGAGGUAUUAGGAGAGUCCAAGGGCUUUGCCCCACACCAAAAAGAAUCUUGGUGGUGGAAUGAGGAGGUACAAACAAAGGUGAAGGCUAAGAAGGAAUGUUGUAAAGCCUUAUACAAGGAUAGGACUGAUGAAAAUGGUGAAAGGUAUAGAAAAGCGAAGCAAGAGGCGAAGAAAGCUGUGAGAGAAGCUAAGUUAGCGGCUUACGACGAUAUGUAUAAACGACUAGAUACCAAAGAAGGAGAGUUGGAUAUCUAUAAACUAGCUAGAGCAAGGGAAAAGAAGACAAGAGACCUAAACCAAGUGAGGUGCAUCAAGGAUGAGGAUGGAAAAGUUCUUGCUACAGAGAAUGCGGUUAAAGACAGAUGGAGAGGUUAUUUUCAUACUCAAUGCACGAUAAUCAAUCGAUUUUUUUAUAAUUUGAUUAACCUCAGAAUCAACCAAACAAAUCUUUUUUCUAACGAUUCAAUAAAUAGACAGCUAUUUUUCGUUAACUAACACUUGUUAACAUAUGGUUCAAUGAUUUUUAAAUGGUGAAUUACAAAGUAGACGAUUUUGAUCAUAGUAGACAUGUCAAUGUUAUACCUAAAUCGCAACCCCAUACCUUAGUCAAGAGAUGCUAACAAAAUUGUUUCGCUCAGCUAUAGAUGUUUAUCAGCCAUUAACAUGCAAAAAAAAAAUCUUAUUAUAUUACAUCAAAAACAACUUUCAAUUAAUUGUGAACGAUUGUCGCUAACAUAGCUUUACUUAAGCUCCCCUAUAAAGAAUUCUUUACAUGCACACGUGAUCCAGAUCCAAGGCACCUUGGAUCAAAUGCAAUGACGUGGGAUCCCUACCUAAAAUUAAAAAAAAGGCAAAAGAAAAUGUCAAAAUCUGAUCCCCAAUUGAAGCAAAAGCUUGUGAUUUUGCACCUCUCAACUUACUCUUUAGGCUCCAUUUUCAUGUGACGUUCACCUUCACGUUCACGUUCACUUCACUCCAACAAAACAAGAGAAAAAAUAAACAAAAAUAUGAAAAUUUUCAACCUCCCUCCUCCAAUCUUCUUCUUCCUCCUCUCACCUUCUCUCUCUCUUCCUCUCUCUCUCUCUCUCUCUCUGAUAUUUUAGUUCACUUCCAAAACUCUCUUUCUGUUUGCUUCCUUGUCUCUUCCCCCACUAAAAUAUCUCUCUUUGGCCUUUAUUUUAUAAAAAUAUCUCAUCCCUCCUCCAUUCAGAUUCUAUGUUAAAUUCCUUUAUGCUCAUAAUUUCCAGCUGAUUAUAUCACUCCAAGAACCUCACAAUUCCAAAAACCAGAAACCCACUUCAAAGAUGUAAUCUUUUCUCUAUUCCGCUUCUGGGUUUUGUUUGUUUGAUCAAUUCUCUUCUGGGUUUUUGUUUACAGUGUAAAUCAACACAAAUUUACUAACUUUGCAUUGAUUUUUUCAGAUACUUUUGAGGAUUGGGAAGCUGUUGCGAGUUCAGCCAUGGCACCUACUGCGAAAUCGGACGGAAAAACAAUCAUAGACUCCGCCAUUUCAUCCAAGAUUCCGGCGACCGCAAACCCUUUAGCCGAAGAACCGUCGCAGAUUGCUUCCAACAUCAAUUACCACGCGAAAUUCAGCCCCCACUUCUCGCCGUUCAAGUUCGAGCCGGAGCAAGCCUACUACGCGACAGCUGACAGCGUCCGCGAUCGCCUGAUCCAGGUACUGUACCGCCGUCUCUCAGCCUCCGGGAUUUCAUUGGCGGACGGUUUUGAUUUUUAUAUUUUUCUUUGUUGGCUUUUUUUAGCAAUGGAACGAGACGUACCUGCAUUUCCACCAGGAGAAUCCCAAGCAGACAUACUACUUGUCCAUGGAGUAUCUUCAAGGACGAGCCUUGACCAAUGCGAUCGGGAAUUUGAAUGUUCAGAGUGCUUAUGCUGAUGCUUUGAACAAGUUGGGGCAUCAGCUGGAGGAAAUAACAGAGCAGGUAAUCUCCGAUACGAUUUUCGUUCGUUUAUUAAUGUAAAGAUUGAGUUUUUGUUCUUCCACUCAAUUAAAUUUUGAGCGUUUACUUUUAGUGUUGUUGAAAUGAGUUGUAUUUUUUACCUCAGAGGUUGUUAAACAUUUAAAAUGGAUUCUUAACUGGUUUUUGUUAUAUGAAUUCGACGUGCAAUCUGUUGAUGGAUGAUUGGUAGAAAUGAAUCUUUGUAGGAAAAAGAUGCAGCACUCGGAAAUGGGGGCUGGGAAGGCUUGCUUCGUGCUUUCUAGACUCCAUGGCAACGCUAAAUUUACCUGCGUGGGGGUAUGGUUUUUGAGGUACAGAUAUGGUCUAUUCAAGCAGCGGAUCGCCAAGGAUGGCCAGGAAGAAACUGCAGAGGAUUGGCUAGAGGUUCUGUAUCACCUUAAGUUCUGUAAAAUUUCAUGUAGUUCAUGAAUUCUUACUGAUACUUUUUUUUAUUGAACUUUAUGCAGAAGUUUAGUCCGUGGGAAGUUGUCAGGCAUGAUGUUGUGUACCCUGUCAGAUUCUUUGGCCAUGUUCAUGUCAAUCCUGAUGGAUCGUAAGUAUCUAAUACUGAUAACAGACUAGAUUCGUAGCUCCAAGAAUGUUUUUUAAUCAAUUAUCGUAAAUUCACAUGUGACAUGAUAGAACCGAGCGCAACGGCGUUCUAGGAUUCAUAUAGCUAACCCACUUAGUGGGAAAAGGCUUUGUUGUUGUUGUAUCGUAAAUUCACAUGCAACUUGGUUGGUUGCUUGAAAUAUAUGUACACUAACUCAGCAAUAAUUUCUUAUGACUAUAUCACAGCCGAAAGUGGGUUGAGGGAGAGGUUUUGCGAGCUCUGGCUUAUGAUGUGCCAAUUCCAGGAUACAAAACCAAGAACACUAUUAGUCUUCGUCUAUGGGAAGCUAAAGCAUCCGCUGAGGACUUUAACCUAUUUCAAUUUAAUGAUGGACAGUAUGAAUCUGCUGCGCAGCUUCAUUCUCGAGCGCAACAGGUUGGUCAUUAAUAUCCUAAUGGCAAGGUAGUCUUGGAACCACUUGCCAUUGUUCAAGUCUUCAAUAGACAUACAAUCAAAAGCCUUUUGAAUUUCUUAUAUGUACAUAUAUGUGUUUAUAUUACUGUGUAUAAUAAUGUGUGUCCACCACAUCGUCAUGUUAAAAUGUUUUCUUGAACCACGUUAUGAAAUUGUGCUUUUACAGAUUUGUGCUGUUUUGUAUCCUGGAGAUGCCACAGAGGAGGGGAAACUUUUAAGGCUGAAGCAACAAUUCUUCCUGUGCAGUGCAUCACUUCAGGUUGGUUUAUUAUCAUUUUAGCCUUCAUUAUUUUGUUGGUGUAAGAAUCACCAUUUUUUUCUUUCUAUUUUCUGUUCCAGAUGACCGUUUAAUAUUUCAAAUUUAAUUAAAGUUGAGAAGGUGAAAAGAAUCUCACACAUUUAGAGAAAAUUUUCAGAUUGACGUUUUCCCUCACAGUGGUGCUUGAUUUCAGAUUUCUUGUGUUUUUUGUUUUUUAAAGAUGAAAAUUACAUAUCUAGUCUUUCUCGUUAAGAGGCAUUUUCAGUUUCUAGUUUGACAUCCCGUCAAGAUAUUGUGAUCAUCACUCUUUAAAUCUUGAAAUUACAGGAUAUUAUUUUUAGAUUCAAGGAGAGGAAACAGGGGACAGACUCAUUGCAAUGGUCAGAAUUUCCAAAAAAGGUUGCUGUCCAAAUGAACGAUACUCAUCCUACACUUGCAAUCCCAGAGCUAAUGCGAUUGCUAUUGGAUGAGGAAGGGCUUGCGUGGGAUGAGGCAUGGGAAGUGACAACAAGGUGCAUUCUAUUUCAUGUUCUUUUAGACUUUCUUGGUUGAAGUUGUUGCCGCACAUUCUUCUUUCUUCCAUGACUGCUCUCCACUUAUUUGUAGUGCUUUUUGCACAAGGAGCUAUAAAGUGCUAACUCAUAAUAAUUGAACCAGGACGGUUGCUUAUACUAAUCACACAGUCCUUCCUGAAGCACUUGAGAAAUGGUCACAAACUGUAAUGUGGAAGCUUCUCCCUCGCCAUAUGGAAAUAAUAGAAGAAAUUGACAAAAGAGUAAUAUUUCUCAUCUUUUCUGCUUUUGUUCUGUUUAUGCUUAAAAUUGUCAUCUCCUAAUGUAAAUUCUUGCAUCCUGGCAGUUCAUUGCUAUGGUACGUGCUACACGAACUGAUCUUGAGAGCAAAAUUCCCAGCUUGUGCGUUUUGGAUAACAAUCCCCAAAAGCCUGUUGUGCGUAUGGCAAAAUUUAUGUGUGGUGUCUGCACAUACGGUAAGACAUCUAUUUUGGGAAAUUUACAAGUAUCUCAUGUAGUUUAUUUUGAGCUGUCUUCAACAUAAACAUAUGGUAACCUGGUUAUUAGAAAGGCAACUUAUUCCCUUUUUCCCUAAGAAAAAGGGUUGGGAGAGCAAGCAAGAGAUUGUAUGCAAUAGUGAAUACAGAGUCUAUGACUCUAAGGUACGGUCCACCAUGUACGUUGGUGAGACUUGAACUCAAGCUUUUUAACGAGGAGAAGCAAGUUCUUCCCAGGAAGACACCCAUUGGCAGUCUGUUACUCUGCAUAAGUGCAUAUUUUGACUAUUCUAUUUUAUUUCAGAGUCCCAUUUUUAGUAAAAUUUAAUGAGGCUUGAAAAUAAAUAUUUUCUGCUUUCCUUUUGUUUUUUUCCUCCCACAAUAUAAGACCCCUUAUUUCCACAUUUGAGCUGUUUGAGUGUUGACGUUGAGAAACUCAUUGCUUUCCGUGUCAUUGUAGGUUAAUGGUGUUGCCCAAUUGCACAGUGAUAUUUUGAAGAAUGAGUUAUUUGUAGACUAUGUCUCUAUAUGGCCAACAAAGUUCCAAAACAAAACCAAUGGGAUUACUCCUCGUCGGUGGCUUCGCUUUUGCAGUCCUGAGCUCAGUAACAUAAUAACCAAAUGGUUAAAAACUGAUGAAUGGGUUACCAACCUGGACCUACUUGUAGGUCUUCGAAAGGUAUGUAUUUAUGUUUUCAAAAAAUAUAUAUAGAAUUGUUUGUCCUUGCCAGAGCGUUCCUGCAGUUGAAUUAUUAAAACUCAAUGUGUUUUCUCCAACAGUUUGCCGAUGAUUCAAAAUUACAAGAAGAAUGGGCGUCUGCCAAGAUGGCUAAUAAGAAGCGUUUGGCACAGUACAUAGAGCAUGUGGCAGGUGUCAAGAUUGACCCAAACAGUCUAUUUGACAUACAAGUGAAGCGUAUCCAUGAAUAUAAGAGACAGUUGCUGAAUAUUCUGGGUGCAGUUUAUCGGUAUAAGAAGUUNNNNNNNNNNNNNNNNNNNNNNNNNNNNNNNNNNNNNNNNNNNNNNNNNNNNNNNNNNNNNNNNNNNNNNNNNNNNNNNNNNNNNNNNNNNNNNNNNNNNNNNNNNNNNNNNNNNNNNNNNNNNNNNNNNNNNNNNNNNNNNNNNNNNNNNNNNNNNNNNNNNNNNNNNNNNNNNNNNNNNNNNNNNNNNNNNNNNNNNNNNNNNNNNNNNNNNNNNNNNNNNNNNNNNNNNNNNNNNNNNNNNNNNNNNNNNNNNNNNNNNNNNNNNNNNNNNNNNNNNNNNNNNNNNNNNNNNNNNNNNNNNNNNNNNNNNNNNNNNNNNNNNNNNNNNNNNNNNNNNNNNNNNNNNNNNNNNNNNNNNNNNNNNNNNNNNNNNNNNNNNNNNNNNNNNNNNNNNNNNNNNNNNNNNNNNNNNNNNNNNNNNNNNNNNNNNNNNNNNNNNNNNNNNNNNNNNNNNNNNNNNNNNNNNNNNNNNNNNNNNNNNNNNNNNNNNNNNNNNNCUUUUAUCAUUAUAAGCCUAUUUGAUUAAACGAUCUAGGGUUUAGAGAGAGAGGGGACCGGCUAUGGUUAGAGAGAAGAGAGAGUGAUUUAAUUGUGAGGUGUGUUUGAUUCAACCCAUUGUGGUUCAUAUGUUAAAUAGACGAUACAAUAAGUCCCCAUGUUAAAUGUACAGUACGUAUGUGGUCCAUAGACUUGGCAUUCGUGUCAUGUUUUUCGUAUUCGUGUCGAUUUCGUGUCAUACCCGAUAUCUUAACGGGUCGUGUCGUGUAACACCCGUUAAAAAUAAACGGGUAAAAUGAUCCGAUCUGAAAUCGACCCGAUAAUAUAAACAGGUAAUAUGACCCGACCUGUUACCCAUUAAGGAAAAUAUAUUUUAAACCAAUAAAUAAUCAAAUGAAAAACAUAAUACUAAAUAAGUAUAUACAUACCAUAUUGUCACAUCCAAAACAUAAAAACGCAUUUUUCUUUUAAGUAUAUUUUCACUUACCUAAAGUCUUUAAUAGUUUUUAAUUAAUGUAGAAGUGUAAAAAAAUAUAGAAAAAAAUAUAUAUAAACGCUCGUAAUGACAAGCUUUACAACUUUCAUGAAGAGCUUAACUUCGAAAUUUGCUACUAUAAUCAUAUAAAUCAUAUAUCAAAAUUUAACUGUUGAUUGUUGUUUACAUUUACGCUUCAUUGUUCUCAUCAAAUUUUGUUUUUUCAGAUUUUCUUUUUUGAAAACUUGAUCCAUUAGAGGAUGCAUGAAGAUAAACGGUUUGGAUCGUUAAUAUUAUAUUUAGAGUUUUACGAUUAGUAAAAAUAUUGCUUGAUGUUUAUAAAAUUUCUACAAACUAUAUGACAUCGACUCAUAUUUCAGUUAACCGUAAAUAUCGAAAUGUGAUAUCAAAGAUAUGAACCGUUCAUCUUCUUACAUCUGCUAGAUAAUCAUGUUAAAAAGAAAAUUUUUAAAAUAAAAUUCAGUAAGAAGAAUAAAGUGUAAAUGACAAUCGACAGUUAAAUAUAAAUUUAAGGUUUAUAAAUUAUAGUGUCGGAUUUCGAAGCUGACCCGUCAUGAAAGUUGUAAAGUUUGUCACUAUGAGUGAUUUUAUUUUUUAUUUUUUACACUUCUACAAUAAUUAUUAUUAAUUUUAUUAAUUUUGUCCUCAAAUAAAAAAUAUUAUUCGUGAAGGUUUGGAGGAUUUUAAAAAUCUAAACGAUAAUGUAAGUGUAACAAUUAUCUACUCGUGGAGGAAUAAUGAUGAAUUACAAGUGUUUAUAUAUUCUUUCACAUUUUUCAUACUUGUAUGUAUGUCUUCUUAGUUCUUGCAUAUACAAAUACUAUAUUAGUUUAUUUUAAUUUUGGACAACAUCGUGUUAAGUAAAAUUUAUAGCCCUGGUGAAUCAUACGAUGAUGGUAAAAGGGAGACUAAAAUUCCUCUGUGAGUUUUCCUGGCUCCCAAAAAUGUGGGCUACCAUGACGAAGCCAAUUUGUCCCUUUUUUUGAAAGAAAAAAAAUACACAUGAUUCAUGUUAAUAUAAUAAAAAUUAGUAUUUUGUCGAUCUUGUAUUUCCACAAACUAAUUCAUGUUAUCUGUAUUUUUUUGAUCUUGUAUUUCCACAAACUAAUACACUACUACGAAACCAUUUACUACUGUCGCUAUGAUAACUGACAAGAAACGUAUAUUACUAUCAGAUAUUAAGCAAAAUUCAACAGAAAAUGGAUGCAGUGGCGGUUAUAAUAAGUGACAUAAUUGCUAGCGUUAGGAAAUGAAUUUUCCAACAGAAAAUACUCUAAAAUAGACAGAAAUUGUGUCGGAUAUAACCGACAAAGAAUACAUUAAUACUGAAUAAAUCAGAGCAUUCUCUGUCGAAUAAAACCAACAAAAAAUAUAUUAAUAAAAAAGAAAUAUAAACCACUUUCUGAAUCAUUUCUUUCCCUUUCAAGUUAGCCUUCCCUGCAUUCAUUGCAUUUUCCAGCUUUGAGAUAUGCAACGUUCCUCUAAGGUACACCAUAUUCUUCAUUUCUUCAAGUUUGUUUCCUAUUUCGCAGCUAACCUGAAUAUAUUUAUAGACAGAAGUUUGACCCCCAACAACAAGAAAAGGAUUGGAAAGACAGAUAAAUAUAUUUGAAAAAGAAAAGAAAAGACAAAUCGGAAAUCUGGGCAAGUUAUGCAACCGCCUACACUACUCCCCGGGGGUUACAGUUCAGGCAGUGCUCCUGUUCUCCGACACUCUCCUUUCUUCACCACCUUUAUCAUCACAAACCUUGUCUCGCUGAUCAGCUCAUUGUCUUUUCUCGUCACGUUUCUCUCGAUCUUGACAUCUCAAUUUGAGUACAAAAACUUCCAUCAAUCUCUUCUGCUCAGGCUGCAUUUAGGAUUUGCCUUUCUUUUCUUCUCGCUAGUGACGACCAGGCUCUCAUUCAUUGCUACAGUUGUGCUCUUGAUUCAUCUCGAUGAGGAAUUAACAACGUCUCUCCUUUACGUUGUUGCCUUUUUUCCUGUGUUUGUAUUUGGGCUCAUACAACAACUUCCUUUGUAUGCUGGAUUUUCUCAUGCUUUGAUAUUUCUAUUUAAGAAAGUUAAGAAGUUUAUAAUUUCUAUUUAAAACACAAACUGAACGUAAUACAAAUAAUUUAAAAACGUACUGGUUUUGAAAUGUUGCUUCUCGAAUUGUUUAUCCAUGGUGAUUGAAGCGAGAAUGAGAAUGAAAUGAAGAGAGGAGAAAAGGGAGAAGGAAGGGAGAAGGCACCGGUGCAAGGAAGAGAUUGAGGGGUUUUAUUUUGGAAAAUUUUCAUUACUGCCGGUUAUAAUCGAUAGAAAAAAAUGGCGGCAAAAAUCCUCCCAAAAUUUUAAAAGGAAAACUAAUGAAAAGGGCUUGAAAACUUUGAGUUUUAAUGAUAAGGACAAAAUAAAGGGUAAAGUGAAUAGUACCAGGUGCUUUUCGUUAAAGUUCCCAAUUUUAAAUCCCCCCCCCCCAAAUUUUGUUACGAUUUAAAAAAAUAAAAUAAAUUGAACGGAGAUAUGCAUUCUACGAAACUAGUUUCCAUGAUCUAACCGUCAAACAUGUUUGUAGAUACUACAAGAUCGCAUAUAUAAAAAAUCGCAAAAAAAAAAUAAUAAUAAUAAGAUAUUAGGUAAUAGAACAAAAGUUUUUUACGGUUAUAAAUGAAAAAUCACAAUUUAACGGUUAUUUUAGCUCCGGUUUUGAUGAUUUUUUUACAGCUACACUCAUCGACCCUAUAAGAAUUCAAUGAACGAAUUCGAUCUUCAAUUUAAAAUAUUUACACUAGUGGAUACCACAAAAUCUUAUUUUAUACUUAAUGGAAGUACAAUAUUAACUCUAAGUGUUUGUUUAAUCUACCGUUUUGACGUGAUAUGCAUUCUACGAAACUUUUUUCAACGAUCCAACCAUCAAACAUAUUUGUACACACUCCGAGAUAGCAUACGUAAAAAAUCAUAAAAAAAUAAACAUUCAAAGAUUACGUAACGGAACAAAAGUUUUCAACGGUUAUAAACAAAAAAUCACAAUUUAACGGUUAUUUUAGUUCUGAUUGUAAUGAUUUUUUACAGCUACACUGCUCGACCCUAUAAGAAUGUCAUAAAUAAAUUUGAUCUUCAAUUUAAAAUAUUUAUACUAGUGGAUACCACAAAAUCUUAAUUUAUACUUAAUGGAAGUAAAACAUUAACUAUUUAAGUGUUUAUUUAAUCUACCAUUUUGACGUGAUAUAUAUUCUACAAAACUUUUUUCAAUGAUCUAACCAUCAAACUUGUUUGUACACACUCCGAGAUCGCAUACGUAAAAAAUAAAAAUAAAACAAACAUUCAGAGAUUAGGUAAUAGAACAAAAAAUUUCGACGAUUAUAAACGAAAAAUCACAAUUUAACUUUUAUUUUAGCUCCGAUUUUUGAUGAUUUUUUUACAGAUACACUCCUCGACCCUAUAAGAAUGUAUUGAACGAAUUCGAUUUCAUUUAAAAUAUUUACACUAGUGGAUACCACAAAUCUUAUUUUAAACUUGAUGGGGAAGUAUAAUAUAUUAACUCUAAGUGUUUGUUUAAUCUACCGUUUUGAUGCGAUACGCAUUCUAUGAAACGUUUUUCAAUGAUCCAACCAUCAAAAUUGUUUGUACACACUCCGAGAUCGCAUACGUAAAAAAUCGCAAAAAACAAAGAUUUAGAGAUUAGGUAAUGGAACAAAAGUUUUCGAUGGUUAUAAACAAAAAAAUCACAAUUUAACGGUUAUUUUAGCUCUGAUUUUGAUGACUUUCUACUGCUACACUCCUUCACCCCUAUAAGAAUGCAAUGAAUGAAUUCGAUCUUCAAUUUAAAAUAUUUACUCUAGUGGAUAAAUCUUAUUUUAUACCUAAUGGAAGUAUAACAUUAACUCUUAAGUGUUUGUAAAAUCUAUCAAUUUGAUAGGAUAUGCAUUCUACGAAACUAGUUUCAACGAUCCAAUCGUCAAACAUGUUUGUAUAUACUUUGAGAUAGCAUGUGUGAAAAAUCGCAAAAAAAAAAAAAAAAAAAAAAAACAAAAACAAAAACAUUCAGAGAUUAGGUAAUGGGACCCUGAGUGAAAAAAAAAAAAAAAAACAUUCAGAGAUUAUUCUAGCAGCCGCCCAAAAUUUUGCUUUGUUUGUGUCGGUUAUAUCUGACAAGGCCAUGAGUGAAAAAAAAAUAUUUUAAACCAUGUGUUUAUUUAUUUUUAAUCAAUAUAACAUUUUAAAAUAAUAAAAUAGUCAAUUUAUGUAGGUUAUAACCACCAGAAUACUAAAAUAAUAACCGCUAGAAACUAAAAUAAUAAAAUAGUCAAUUUAUGUCGGUUAUAACCACCACCAUUAACUUAAAAACUGUCGGAAUAUGUUAAAAAAAUAUUUAUAAAAAAAAGAAUUCAAAAAUACUAGCGGUUAUAAUAAUUUUAUGGCUAUUGCAUUCGACAGUAAAUAUCCGUCAGGAAUUUAUGUCGAAUAUAACCGACAGGAUUUCAUUGUUAUUCAACACUAACUAAGUGAUGUGUCAGAUAUCUUUUAUCCGACAUAAUGACUUAUUAAACCACCACCAUCAUCCGACACCUAAAGCUAAUAUUGUAGUAGUGAUACACACGUUAUAUGUAGUCAGUAUUUUGUUGAUCUUGUAUUCUUGUUGAAAUUUCAUCUUCUAGAAAAUUAUGUUGGCCUGUCAUAUUUUUGAGACACUUAACCUAACUUUUCGAUAAAGUUGCACAUUUCGAGAAACGAAAACUAUAAUGAACAACUAGCAUUUGCCUACACACUUUGUGUGUAUGAACACGUAUUUUUUAGAAAAUGAGAAGGAGAGAGAGAGAGAACGUGAGGGGAGUGGGAGGUUUUUUUUUUGUUUUUUGUUUUAUUUUAAAUAUUGAAGGUAUUUUAACAUUACCUAUAGGUAAGGCUUCAACAAAAAAACAGUAAAAUUUGGACCUGUGAAAUUACAUUAUUGCUCAUCAUUUUUUAUUGUGUGAUAGAAGACUAAGUAGUGUUUUCACCAUCUUUUGGUUGACAAAGAGGUUUUCAUUAAUUAAUAGAGAUAAGAAUGAAAAAAUAAUAGAAAAAAUAAAAACUUUAAGGAAAAAUUAAUAUCUGAUUCCUAGUUUUUUAUUUCAUAUAUUAACUGAGACCUUAUUAGUUUUUAGAUUUUGAUCAAAGUCCCUAGCAUUCAUCUAUUAAUAAAUUACAUGUCAGUUACAUUAUUUUUUUUAAAUACAAAUUAGUAAUUGAUUUAGGGUUUUAAUGCUGACAUCCUUAUUAAACUCCUAAUUAAUUUUCAAUUCAAAAAAUUUUCAAAAUAUAAAAAAUAAAAUUAGAAUAAGUUUGUACCCAUUAAUGUUUUAUAAAAAAAAAUUUCAAUUUUUUUAAUCUUACAUGUAACCAUUUAUAUAAUUCUUCUAUUUCUCUAAUCUUAAAUGUACUUAUUCUUAGAUAUACCAAUUUGUUAUCUAUAAAAUGUACCUUUAUAUAUAUAUAUAUAUAUAUAUAUAUAUAUAUAUAUAUAUAUAAUUCAUUCAAUCUUUUUUUUAAUUCAUUUUUUAAAUUUAUAUGGGUACAUUCUAUUUCGUUGAUUUGAGAAUGAAUUUAUGUCAAGUUUUAAUAGAAGAAAUUUAAUAUGUACCCAUGUUUUGGUGCAAUAAUUUUUUUGUUAGUUUUGAUGAACGUACCCAUGUAUGUGUGUGCACACACAGACACACACACACAAUAUAUAUUGGAGAGUAUAAUUUAUCUUUAAUAUUUUUUUUAUCCCAUAAAUUAUAGGUUUUAUUUAAAUCUCAUUAAUAUAAAUAACUACAAAUUUCAUUUUUAAUUUAAAAAUAAAAAUAACUACAUUAUUACAUUAAUGUCAGGAACUUCGAUAAAAAAACUGAAAAUCACAAGAGUUUUAGUAAAAAAACAUUGAUAAUUAGGGCCCACAUCCAAAGUCUCCAAAAAUUUAAUGACUGAGGCAAUAUUGGAUUCAAAAUUUAAACUUUGGCUCUUUUAAUUUAAAAACCUAAAUUUUUAAAAUAGAAAUUUUAGCGCGUGAGCAAAUUUCAGUUGAUUCAUGGAGAUAUUUCAUUGAACACUUAGUGAGUUUGUUGUCGUCAGAUGAACCAUAUUACGAAUAUGUUAACAUAUAUUAACAUUUGCUAAAGCUAUAUAAUGAGUGCUAUUGAUAGCAUUCGUGGUUAGAUUUUGCUUCGUGAUCAUAGCAAAGCUUCAACAAGUUCUGAACUCAAUUGCUUUAUUAUAUUCUAUGCGUUUUCUUCAACAAAGUUAGGCUGAAAGAAUCGUUCACAUAACAUAUUUGUCUCCUGAACAAGUCUUUCUUCCUUAAUUUUUCAAUAUUGACAAAACAAAAAAACAAAAAAAAAGCUACGAGAUAAUCAUACUAACUGAACAAGUUGCUCCCAUACAACGGUUAUCAGUGUUGACUCGUCACGCACACAAAGCUUUCGAACAACUAUAACAAAAAAGGCCCACAUUUCUCAAACUGUCUCGGAAGUUCGACUACCAUGGCGGAGAGCUUAUGCACGCGGUUCAAGUACAACCUGCUAUGGAAGUGUUUAAAGAUUGAGAAAAAGUGGUGAUUCGUUAAGUAAAUUUUAUGUUUGUUGCAAACAUUGUUUUAAAAACUUCCAUCUAAGUGCUACUCGGCUAGUCACUACCCCGAUUAAUCCCUAAACGUUUGAAAAUAAAAAUGGCACCUAGACCUACCUAAGCACCUACCUAGAUCGCCUAAGCGCCCUAGCCCACCCAAACCCACCUAGGUCGUGACUCACUUAGAAAAUAAAUAACUUUCGUUUUGCUUUUUAUUUUUUUCAAUAAAUUGUAAGAGACUAGUCGAAUACUUAGAUUAACACAUAUUAUAUGCUUGUUCUCCACGCAUUUUGCUCUCUUGAACUCUACCCUUCUGUCCUAGCUUCUUCACCCUCCCCCGUCUAAUAGGAUCAAAGUACUUCUUUUGUGUGUCCCGGGUAAAGUUGAUAGGAGCAUAUGCUCCCAAACAACUUUGAGUGGAGUCGUUCGAAAAGAAGUUUCUAUGGCCCCCUUGCUCAUUUAACACUGCAUCCGGGUGCCGAUGGAGAUACAGCGACCCUUGCUCACUUAUCACUGUGCUCGGGCCGCACAGCGCGCCACUUACGGGUGACGCCCUAGCUUUAGCGCUAUUUUGUUCUGGAUUCAUUUUCAUAAGGAUUCGACGUGAUCAUGGAGUGCCGGCUGUCGACUAGGAACGUGGAAUAUAGGAACCUUAACGGGAAAAUCUAUGGAAGUAGUGGAAGUUAUGGUGAGGAGAAGAAUAAAUAUUAUGUGCCUACAAGAAACUAAGUGGGUUGGUAGUAAGGCAAAGGAUCUAGAAAACUCAGGGUUUAAACUUUGGUAUUCGGGCACACAUAGAACGAGAAACGGUGUUGGCAUCAUCGUGGACAAGACCUUGGUACAAGAUGUUGUAGAUGUCAAGAGGGUAGGAGAUAGAAUCAUGGCAAUCAAGAUUGUAAUAGGACAAGAACUUAUCAAUGUGAUUAGUGCGUACGCACCUCAAGUAGGGUUGGAUACGAGGUCGAAGGAGAAAUUUUGGGAAGAUCUUGGAGACUUGGUGCAAGGAAUUGCUCAGACGGAGAAGUUAUUUAUAGGAGGAGAUUUAAAUGGACACGUGGGCAGGGAGACAGGCAACUAUGGAGGUUUUCAUGGUGGCCAUGGUUUUGGGGAGAGAAACGAGGAUGGGGAAGCUAUCUUGGAUUUUGCAAUGGCAUUUGAUCUCUUCUUAGCCAACACCUUCUUUAAGAAGAGAGAAGAACAUGUGAUCACCUACAAGAGUGGGUCGUCAAAAACACAAAUAGAUUUUCUUCUAAUGAGGAAAGGGGAUCGUAUAACUUGUAAGGAUUGCAAAGUUAUACCAGGAGAGAGCGUGGCUAAUCAACAUCGCUUGUUGGUGAUGGAUGUACAUAUCAAAAGAGUGAGACAAAAGAACAAGACUUGGAAGUGCCCAAGGACUAGAUGGUGGAAUCUAAAAGAAGAAAAAACAAGCCAUUUUCAAAGAGAAAGUAAUCACCCAGUGUGUGUGUGGGAUAGAGAGGGGGAAGCUAGCCAAAUGUGGGAUUCCAUGGCUAGUUGUAUCCGAAAAGUAGCAAAAGAGGUAUUAGGAGAGUCCAAGGGCUUUGCCCCACACCAAAAAGAAUCUUGGUGGUGGAAUGAGGAGGUACAAACAAAGGUGAAGGCUAAGAAGGAAUGUUGUAAAGCCUUAUACAAGGAUAGGACUGAUGAAAAUGGUGAAAGGUAUAGAAAAGCGAAGCAAGAGGCGAAGAAAGCUGUGAGAGAAGCUAAGUUAGCGGCUUACGACGAUAUGUAUAAACGACUAGAUACCAAAGAAGGAGAGUUGGAUAUCUAUAAACUAGCUAGAGCAAGGGAAAAGAAGACAAGAGACCUAAACCAAGUGAGGUGCAUCAAGGAUGAGGAUGGAAAAGUUCUUGCUACAGAGAAUGCGGUUAAAGACAGAUGGAGAGGUUAUUUUCAUAAUCUUUUCAAUGAAGGACAUGAAAGGAGUGCUUCUUUAGGGGAGUUGAGUAACUCAGAAGAGUGUAGAAACUACUCUUUUUAUCGUCGAAUCCGGAAGGAAGAAGUGGUUGUAGCUUUGAAGAAGAUGAAGCAAAGAAAAGCAAUAGGCCCAGACGAGAUACCAAUCGAAGUGUGGAAAGUUUUGGGAGAGACAUGUAUAACAUGGCUCACUGACCUUUUCAAUAGGAUUUUGAAAACGAAGAAGAUGCCAAAUGAGUGGCGAACGAGCACUUUAGUGCCUAUCUACAAGAAUAAGGGCGACGUACAAAAUUGCAUGAACUAUAGGGGUAUUAAGCUAAUGAGUCAUACAAUGAAGCUCUGGGAGAGAGUCAUUGAGCAUAGAUUGAGGCAAGAGACACGGGUUUCGGACAACCAAUUCGGGUUCAUGCCAGGGCGCUCAACCAUGGAGGCAAUCUAUCUCUUACGAAGAUUGAUGGAAAGAUAUAGAGAUGGGAAAAAGGAUUUACACAUGGUCUUUAUAGAUUUGGAGAAAGCGUACGAUAGGGUCCCAAGAGACAUUCUUUGGAGGAUUUUAGAGAAGAAAGGAGUACGAGUAGCAUAUAUCCAAGCUAUAAAGGAUAUGUAUGAAGGAGCAAAGACUGCCGUAAGAACUCAUGAAGGACAAACUGAAAGCUUUCCCAUAACUGUAGGAUUACAUCAAGGCUCAUCCUUAAGUCCUUACCUUUUUGCGUUGGUAAUGGAUGAGUUAACAGGACAUAUUCAAGAUGAUAUUCCUUGGUGUAUGCUUUUCGCAGACGAUAUAAUGUUGAUAGAUGAAACUCAGGAAGGGGUAAAUACAAAGCUUAACCUUUGGAAAGAAGUGUUGGAAUCUAAAGGUCUUCGCCUAAGCCGAUCAAAGACAGAAUAUAUGGAGUGCAAGUUCAGUGCAAAUGGAGGCCAAAACGAGUUAGGGGUGAGGAUCGGUGAUCAAGAAAUACCAAAGAGCGAUCGUUUUCGUUACCUAGGAUCUAUCUUGCAAAAGAACGGAGAAUUAGAUGGAGAUCUCAACCAUAGAAUACAAGCUGGAUGGAUGAAGUGGAAGAGUGCAUCCGGCGUGUUGUGUGACCGCCGUAUGCCACUGAAGCUCAAGGGAAAAUUUUAUAGGACGGCAAUAAGGCCGGCGAUGCUGUAUGGCACAGAAUGUUGGGCGGUGAAGCAUCAACACGUACACAAAAUGGGUGUAGCGGAGAUGAGGAUGCUUCGUUGGAUAUGUGGGCACACGAGAAAGGAUAAGAUUAGGAAUGAGGAUAUCCGGGGUAAAGUAGGAGUAGCCGAAAUUGAAGGAAAGAUGAGAGAAAAUCGGUUACGGUGGUUUGGACAUGUGCAAAGAAGGCCUACUGACGCUCCGAUUAGAAGAUGCGACUAUGGGACAGAGGUUCAGGGCCGAAGGGGUAGAGGAAGACCUAGGAAAACUUUGGAAGAGACUCUAAGAAAAGACUUAGAGUACUUGGAUCUAACGAAGGACAUGACACAGGACCGAGCACAAUGGCGUUCUAAGAUUCAUGUAGCCGAUCCCACUCAGUGACUUGGAUUUUCCAAGUCUCCAACCGAGAAGUUUUCCUCACUCAGGAAAUUAAGGGAACACUACCUCAACCUACAUGCUCCACUCACAAAGCUUCCAACAAAAAGAAAAUUCAAAGAACUUAGCGAAGAAGGCUUUGGUGUAUUUAACACAAUACGUUGAAAUGAAGGAAAGCUUAUUUAUUGAUAUCCCCGAUAAGCUACAAAUAUGUACAUAUACAUGAGUCAAAAUAAACAAACAAGAGAGAGCCUUCACAAAGGUUGCUUAGGAGAAGUCGCAGCAGUCGGUAGAGCCCCAGAAAGAGAAGGCACCGGAGGGGGAUCAUUCGGAGCCUCAGUACUGGACAGAACCCUGGAAGGAGGAGGCAUCAGAGGUUGAUCAUUUGGAGCUUCAUUACGCGGUACAGCCCCAGAAGACGAAGGCAAUAAAUGCCUUUGGAACAAACCCACAAAUCUCUGAUGAUCAAGUAAAACCUGACCAUCAGAUUCCUUCAUCUGGUCCAGCUUCCUCUUCAUGUUUGUAGCAUAGUCAUGUGCGAGACGGUGCAACUGUUUAUUCUCAUGCUUGAGCCUUCUAAUCUCCUGUUUGAGACUCAUCACUUCAGCCGUCAAUGAUUCAACUUGGCGGGUUCGAGCAAAUAGGCGUUGGGCCAUAUUAGACACAGAACCUGCACACUGAACACUGAGAGCCAGAGAAUCCUUAACAGCUAACUCAUCAGAUCGUUUGGAAAGUAGUCUGUUAUCUUUGGGAGUGAGAAGGUUCCUGGCCACCACCGCAGCGGUCAUAUCAUUCUUCAUAACGGAAUCCCCAACGGUAAGAGGACCAGUAGGGGAGACGAAGGAUGGGCGCCAUAUGUUGUCUGGAGAAGGCGGGGCUGCCUCUUCAACAAGGUUCAAGUCAAAACGACGGUCGGAGGGGCCAGACAUUUUCAAAGGUGUUGAAGAGAGAAGAGGUCGAACAAAUCAAGAUCUUAGAAGUGUAAGAAUGGAGCUUCUACUAGUGGAGAUUCAAGUGUGCUUUGGAACUUAAUGCCAGCCCCUAUAAAAAUCUGCACUCGACGGAGCUUCAGAAAUCGAAGAGGCGCCUGCUCAGAAAUCGAAGAGGCGUUUGCUUUCUCAAAAGCUGGGCUGCUCAGAGACCACGAGGGUCGAUCUCAGAAAUCGAAGAGGCGUCUGCUUUCUCAAAAGUUGGGCUGCUCAAAGACCACGAAGGCCGAUCUCAGAAAUCGAAGAGGCGCUUGCUUUCUCAAAAGUUGGGCUGCUCAGAGACCACGAGGGCCGAUCUCAGAAAUCGAAGAGGCACCUACUUUUCCAGCCUUGGCAGCACCUGUCACACGCACACUCAGCUUUGCGGAAAUUAUGGGCAUUCUGUCGAAGACUUCUGGUGAAGUAGAAAGCACAUGAGUCUUACUGUUCAAUCACCCACUUCCCACACGCAAUAGUAGCUCAUGUGUAUCACAGAUAACUUUGCCAAAGUUCUCUGCCAAAGUUGAGCACGUGAAGCUUGCAGCUUCCACUACAUCGCUCUGACCAAGACGGGUAAAAGAAUAGCAAAGAAACAGCACUAACAAAGUUUAGACACAUAAAUUUUGAAGGUCUAGCUACCCCAUAUUAUUACCCACAAGGGUAAAGGAACAGUAUCACUGCUGGAUAAUUGGAAAGUCCCUGUGUGUCAACCUCUGUGCUUCGUGGCAAGGUAGACUAGCAAACAUGCCCAACCUUUACUCACAUUCGAGAAAACACUCCCAACAAGAUUGCUUGCUCCAAAAUCGAAGAGGCACCGUCCUCCGAAUCUCGAGAGCCAGACUCCCAACAUGACUACUUUCUCAAAAAUCGAAGAGAGGGUAAAGGAACAGUACCAUUGCUGGAUAAUUGGAAAGUCCCUGUGUGUCAACCUCUGUGCUUCGUGGCAAGGUAGACUAGCAAACAUGCCCAACCUUUACUCACAUUCGAGAAAACACUCCCAACAAGAUUGCUUGCUCCAAAAUCGAAGAGGCACCGCCCUCCGAAUCUCGAGAGCCAGACUCCCAACAUGAUUACUUUCUCAAAAAUCGAAGAGACACCGCUCUCCGAAUCUCGAGAGCCAGACCCCCAGCAUGAUUGCUUUCUCAAAAAUCGAAGAGACAUCGUUCUCCGAAUCUCGAGAGCCAGAUCCCUGAUAGGAUUGCUUGUUCGAAAACCGAAGGGGCAACACUUUCCCAACUACAAGAGCCGGAUCUCCUUGGAUAAAGCUGUCUGUAAUCUUCACACGCAACAUCAGCUUUCCACAUACCACAGACCACUUUUUCAAAGUGCUCUGACAGGGUAAAGGAAUAGCAUUACUACUUGUUGUUAAGGAGACUCCUAUAUAUGUUAACCUCCAUCCCCAACGGACAGACAGACCUGCAAAAAUGCUCAACCCUUCCUCAUAUAUGAGAGGGCACUCUCAACGAAGCCUUUCGAAAUAUUCAGCUUUCUUUCCCCCCGAUAAUACCUCUGCAAACAAGUUAUACUAGAGCAAGAAUAUCUCAUAUCAUUAGGGUUAAAAGCAAGAGUAUCCCAUAUCAUGCUUUUUCCCUGUCUUUUCCUUUGGCCUUGUUCUUACCUGCAAGACAAGGAGAAAGAGAGCAAUCAGUCAGCACUUGGAAUCAAGCUUCCAGCCAGGAACUGACUGCCUGGAACUUACUUACCUGGCAUUGCUCUCGAGUACUCAUCUUCAACAUCUUAUGCUUCCAGGGAAGAUACCGCAUCUGCCUGAGGAACAGAUAGGGCAAGUGAGAAGGAUACAAGGAAGCAUGUGGAGACAAGCGUAACAGCACACGUGCCGAUACAUCCAUUACUCUGUCAAAGCAAAAGUAUCCCAUAUCAGUAGGGUCGAACGUACUCUAGAUUUGAUGGACUUGUUUUGACCCUCAAAUUCUUCAGUCGGCCUUAUACUCUGGAGGAAACCAGAAAACCCUCCAGCUCAGUUCAAGAAUAAGCCUGUGGAAAGUUACUUCUUCAAAAGCAAAAGUAUCCCAUAUCAUCUCUUCUCAUUUUUCUUCUCUUUAUCCUUCAUGCUGCCUGCAAGAUAGGGAGAAUGUGAACAAUCAUCCGGAGCUCUGAUUGCUUACCUUGUCUGUCACCUCUUUCAGCAAAUCCCCUAGCUCGGCAACUUGAGGGACUCCUACUACAUGGUUUGUAUCGCGCUUGACCAAGCCUGAAACUACAAGUAAGCUUCAAGUGAAAUUGAUACAUUACCUUGUGCAUCUCCACCAGUUAAAGAUACCACCCCUGGAUGGAGGAAGAGUACUUCCAGAGAAGAUGCCACAUCUACCUAUGAGACAGAUAAGGCAAGUCAAGACGAUACCACAUUCCGAUACUUAGAAGUUUCGUGAUUACGAGAUCAUUCUCCCACAAUAUUUCCUAAUGUCAUUUGUACUAAAUCAUUCACUUGUACUCACUAAAGGAAAGCUUGAACCUAUGUACUUGUGUAAACCCUUCACAAUUAAUGAGAACUCCUCUAUUCCGUGGACGUAGCCAAUCUGGGUGAACCACGUACAUCUUGUGUUUGCUUUCCUAUCUAUAUCCAUUUAUAUACUUAUCCACACUAAUGAUCGGAGCAAUCUAGCGAAGAUCACAAAAAGCGACCGUUUUCGCUACCUAGGAUAUAUCGUGCAAGAGAACGGAGAAUUAGAGAGAGAUCUCAACCAUAGAAUAGAAGUUGGAUAGAUGAAGUGUAAGAGUGCAUCCGGCGGGUUGUGUGACCGUCGUAGGCCACUGAAGCUCAAGGGAAAAUUUUAUAGGACGACAAUAAGGCCAGCGAUGUUGUAUGGCACAGAAUGUUGGGCGGUGAAGCAUCAACACGUACACAAAAUGGGUGUGGCGGAGACGAGGAUGCUUCGUGGGGAUGUGGGCACACAAGAAAUGAUAAGAUUGGAAAUGAGGAUAUUCGAGGUAAAGUAGGAGUGGCCGAAAUUGAAGGAAAGAUGAGAGAAAAUCGGUUCCGGUGAUUUGGACAUGUGCAAAGAAGGCCUACUGACGCUCCGGUUUGAAGAUGUGACUACGGGACAGAGGUUCAGGGCCAAAGGGGUAGAGGAAGACCUAGGAAAACUUUGGAAGAGACUCUAAGAAAAGACUUAGAGUACUUGGUUCUAACGGAGGACAUGACACAAAACCGAGCGCAAUGGCGUUCUAGGAUUCAUAUAGCCGACCCCACUUAGUGGGAAAAGGCUUUGUUGUUGUUGUUGUAUAAGCGUAGACACUUAUUUAUACGAUAUAUAAUAAAUUUACUUAAAUUUAUUUAGUCCGCCUAGGCCUUUGCCUAGCCGUCUAGCAUCUGACCCCAGGCCACCGCCUGGCCUAGCGUGUUUUAGAACUUUAGUUGCAAUACAUUGAGGUUCCGAUCCCCGCCCUGAAGAAGAAUGAGGUUUUGCUGAAAUUGGAAGCAGAUAGUCUUCAACCAGUUGAUUGGAAAAUCAGAAAGGCGAGCAGCGGCCUCUUUUCCCCGGCAAAUUCCCUCAAAUACCUGGGAAUUCUGUUUCUCAUGUGAUUUGUGAUGUUUUUAUAAUUUUUUAUCUUCAACAUUCGUAAAUAAAACUUAUGCCAGAACACUAAAUAUAAUCUCUCACCCAUUUCGUAAGUGCUCCACCAUUUCGUAAGUGCUCUCAAUAUUUUAUAUUGUUUUUUUUAUAAAGAUAAUAAGACAAAAAUGAAUAGUAAUAUAAAAUGUUGACGUGCUUUAACCGUGACCACACAAACAGGAGGGCAUGGAAACAAAGAGGGCAGACAAUCCUUGUCCAAAUGAAAACCUUGAAACAUUUUGGUCUCCCAGGCAUUUGAGGCAAGACAGAGUGUAAUGAUUUUGGUCUCCCAGUAUGGAGAGAGUAAUGAUUUAUUAUGUGAAUGUUACUCUUUAUUUAUAGUCAAGAAUAAGGAGAGGAUUAACUUGUCCUUCAAGUAAAUACAAUCCUAUAGGAAAAGUAUAACUAGCAACCAAAUCUAUCUCGGAUUUCUCAACCCAAGAAUAUCUAUAACUUACGAUAUUAUUUGUAAAACACUGCAAUUCAAAACAUGGCAUGGCCAAAACUAAGGCUCCACAAUUAUCUUUCCGGUAGCAUGGCCAUCGCUGAUCCUAUCCCAAGCGUCCUCCGCCUUGGUCAGGGGAUACUUUGAGUCAAUUAUAGUCUUCAGCUUCCCUUCUUUCACCAACUUAAUAAGAUACUCAAGGUUAUCAGCCAUGGGAAAUAAGAACAGUGGCACCAGUUGCUUCUUAGAAAAGGUAAGUUUCUUCAGUGCAACGCUAAACAGAGAGCUGGGGGUGGGAGUAACAUCUAUUACCUUACCGUUCGCACUCAAAUUAGGCUCAAAAGUUGACCAAGGAAUGCAUGUUGCACAGUGGAUCACAACAUCAUAUUUUCGACCAGAUGGACUCCUAAGAGCUGCACCUUCUGGGGUCUUGUAGUCAAUAACCUCAUCAGCCCCUAGGCUUUUGACCAGUUCAAUGUUGCGGGCACCACAAGUGGCUGUAAUAUGAGUAUUUCCGAGCUUUGCCAACUGAACCGCAUAGAGACCUACACCACCUGAAGCAGCUGUGAUCAGGAUGUUUGCUUGCUGACCACUUCCAUCAAGCUUGAUCCCUGCAGUUUGUGUAAGAGCCUGGUGAGCUGUGAGACCAGCAACGGGUAAUCCUACAGCGGUGGCUGCUGAAACUUCCGGUGGCCUUGCAACAGUUAAACUCUCCAUUGUCACGGCAAAUUCAGCUAGUCCACCUCCAGUCUUUGAUUCAUUGUCGAAGAACAGAAUGAGACAAAAGGGGACAUGGUAUGUAUCAAUGAAUGAUGCAUCAGAUAUCUAGGUGACACAUUCUGUCACUGGGUUUGCAUAUUAAGCACACCAAAAGUGGUUUUUACAUGCAAUAGUUCAGUCUCAUGCCGACUGGAAUGACACUAGGGAAAGAGGCACACAAAGUCGAUGAAGGGUUAACGAGGGUUUACAAAUACAACAAUUCAGAUUGGAACAAAUGGAUUCAACUUUUCAAAUUAGUAGAUACUUAUUCAGAUAUCAUUGAUGAAAAUAAUAGUUCUAAAUUAAGUUAAAUCCAUCUAUAUGCAUGUUUCCUAGAUGUAUGUGAAGCCUAAAAGAUGCUAUUUCCAAAACAUGAUAUGGGAGCUUAAUUCCCUUUUUCUGAAUUAUGUUAUCCUUUCAGUUAAAUUUUACUUCGCCGAAAACGAAGACUAAAUUUGAAGAAUUUCAAGUGAAACAGAGAAAAUGAGCUAGUAUAUAAGGGAACUUACAAGAGUGUUAACCUUCCCGACAACUUUGUCACCAGGUUUGAAUUUUUUUACUCCAGGUCCUACCUUUACAACCUCUCCUGCCACAUCAAUACCUGUUCCGAGUUCCACCAAUGAAUAUCUUCAGUUAAUAAAACGACUUCUCACAAAAUGCGGUCCUGUGAAAACUUCUACAUAAAACAUGUUAAGAAAUGCAUCCCACCCUUUCCCUUUGAAGAACUCGAAAAACUAUGCUAUAAUAUCGAUGUUUACGUAAGAAUCUCUCCCCGGAAAACACACAAAUUCCACUCCAGAAGUUUAUUAGAUGAAAUGAACAAGAAACAGGUGUUUAAGCAUUUAUCGAACAUUCGUACUACUUUUCAAGAAGAAGAUCAAAUAAUACAUGGAAUGAAGCAUAAUUACGUAAAGAGUUAUAAACACAAAAUGGAUCCCCUAAGUAGCAGCGUCUCAAGGCAGCCAAACCAAAUUACCAGGUAUGUACGGAAACCUGCGAGGCAACAAAGGCCAGAGCAUGCCUUUCUGAGCUUUCCAAUCAAUUGCGUUUAGACUAGUUGCCUCCAAUUUCAGCAACACCUCAUCUUUUUUCGGAUUUGGAAUCGGAACUUCAACAUGCUGCAAUAAAGGCCAAUGUCAUGACAAGAAUGUGUUCUGCAAAGUUCUUCAAAGCAACAAAGUAUCCACAUAAUAGACCAACAACUUUGUUUAACAUUUCAUAAGCAUAUACAAAUGGUAAUUUUCUCGAUAACAAAACCUAGUAACUGAGUAAAUCCCUGUUACUAUUUCUUUCAUCAUGUGAUUCAGAUAAAAACAAUAAAAGUAAAAGAUAAAACCUCUUCCUUUAUCCUUUCCUUCCCAACAUCGCAAUGACUCAAUCAAGUACUCGUAUUCCAAGUGGGAUUGCAGUUAUUAAACUGAAAAUAUGACUUCACCCCUAGAACAUAGAUUUUUUAUGUAAAACCCGACAUAAUUGUUUUACUUGAUUAAACCCCAAUAAUUAGGAUCCCCAUAAGCAUAUUCCUUAAUUAAGCUUGAAUACAAAUAUUUUACAUGUUUCCAAUGGCUAUAUUAUCCCUAAUAACAAUUGGAUUUAGACAUUUCUUUUCCUAUUCUAUAUUAUCCCUAAAUGGGUACAUUAAUGAUAUAUAAAUAGACAAACAUUAUGAAACUCAUUGAAGGCGCAAAACAAGGAGUAAAUCUUUGAUAUUGACAUGAUUGGAGAAUACUUGCAAUUUUGUAAAAUGAUUGCAACUCAUAUUAAAUUUUGGAUUUUAUUUAGAGGUUAAGAAGUGCACGGGUAUUGAACUCCCGGAAGAAAAAAAGAAAAAAUACAGGUGAGUUUACGUUUAUGAAAUAAGAGUUACAAGUCUAUAAACAACCUUUAAACCAGAAGUUCCGCCGCCAUAGUUGUCGUACUGAACAGCGUGCAUGGUCUCAUUGGCCAUAGUCUCUCAGUUGUAAGUCCAACCAACGUUCCGAAGAGCCGCAGAAACUUGAAGCUCCUCCCUCCCGGAUUCUAUCAAAUACAGAGCUUAUGCUAGUACAGCAAUAGACUCAUUAGCCCAUGUCUAUAGUGGAACAAAUAUACGCGUGAUUGAUUGAUGUUCACUGAUUGACCCUUGUCUAUUGUGGAACAAAGACACGGGAUUCAUGGGCUAUAGUGGAACAAAUAAUACGCGUUAUUCAUAAUGAUGUUGACUGAUUGACCCUUGUCUGUCGUGGAACAAAUACACGUGAUUCAUAUUGAUGUAGACAGUACAAUCAGUAUAUGGUUUACAGUACGUAUGUGGUCCACAUGUUAAAUAGACGAUCAAUAAUUACAUGGUCCCUAUGUUAAAUAGACAACACGUAAGUGGUCCAUAUGUUAAAUAUACAAUAAGUGUAUGCAGUAGCAGAACCGGGAAGAGAUGGGAAAUUCAAAAUAAUGCAAGAUUCAAUCGAAGUGGUUGCUUUUAUAUUGGAGAGUGUAAAGUUUUGAGUCAAUAUUCAUAGUAGAAAAUAGUCUCUCCACUAAAACGGUUGUAAACGGUAAUAUCAAAACCAAUGUAAUAAGCUUAAAUUGGCUAGGUUUAUAUUCUAAAAAUAGACGCUAGUCAAACAGCGGACUGGAACUUAGUAGCUAGGCGCCUAAGACAGAUCUAGGCAUGAGCCUAGUGGGAUUUAAACGAAUUUCUUUUAUCAUAAAAUAAGCAUUAAGUUGUAGGCCUAUUUGAUUGAACGAUCUAGGGUUUAGAAAGAGAGAAGGAGCCGACUAUAUUAGGAGAAGAGAGAGUGAUUUAAUCGUGAGGUGUGUUUGAUUCACACAAUUGUGCCUUUAUUUAUAGUAGUAGGAUAGGUAAAAACAUUUUCCUUUAGGAUUACAAUAUUUAAUAGGUAAUCAACCCCUGAUAUAAAUAUAAGAUACAUUCCCAGAUUCCCUAAGAUUUACACAAUCACAUUCCUAUUCUAAAUAUGACUGCAACACUUUCCCUUGUAGCUAACGGGGGGAAUACGUCUCCUCGUAAUCACUCCCAAGGCGCUGAGAGAAGCCUUGCACUACGAGGUGUGCUUUGUAUCGUACUAUUUCAUUCUUCUCAUUACGCUUCCUCACGAAAACCCACUUAUAGCCAACGGGUUUCACGAGUUGUGGUGUAGGAACGAUAGGUCCAAAUACCUUACGUUUCGCGAGCGAAUCGAGUUCAACCUGGAUUACUUGUUUCCAGUUUGACCAAUCAGUUCUACGUCGGCAUUCAUCCAUCGACGGAACGUGGUUCAAUGUCAUCACUAAGCAUGAUGUUAGUAGCUACUGAAUACGCGAAUGCAUCGUCGACGAUCAUUUCAUUCCUAUUCCAAACCUUAUCUAAUAUUGCGUAAUGGACCGAAAUCUCGUGAUUCUCAAGAGGCCGGCAUGUUUCGUCUGAAGCAUCGCCGUAAUCUAGAAUAACCUCAUGCGUUGGAUCAGAUGAGUGAGCGAUGGUCGGAUUCAAACUAGGGUCACUAGUUGGUGCCAUUUUCCUCUUCCAAGGUUGUGAAUCCUUUGAACCAAGGGGUCUGCCACGCUUCAGGAUAGAAGCAAAUGAUUGGCUAGCUGCCAAUGUACCGUACCGCGUGGAAGGUGCGGCCUCCCUACCUUCGGGGACGGUCCGGCCUUCCCAGGCAGGUUGUUGACGUACACAGGGUACAUCUAUCCUUGCAGGUAUGUUUGCAGCGAGUAUAUGUGAUAUUGUCACCUUUGCUAGAUCAUUAAAAGCAUCCAGCAUACUUUGAGCAAUGCUCUGAAAAUCUAUAAUUCGUCGCACCUCAAUUUCAGAUUGGGCAGUGCGGGGAUCUAAAUGAGACAUAGUGGGAGCAUACCACGACAAUUUGUGGCGUUCUACGAGAACGUUAGCAUGCUUAUCUCCCCCUAAUGACCGGAAGACUGUCUCAUCAAAGUGACAAUUUGCAAAACAUGUGGUAAAGAGAUCUCUUGUCAAUGGUUCAAUGUCAUCACUAAUCAUAACCGACAUAGAUUCCCAUUUUUCUCUGAGGACCCAUUUUGGUACGUAGUGACGGUGCUAUUGGCACAUAAAUGGCGCACCCAAACACCUAUAAAUGCAAGACGUCAGGCUCGUAUCCAGUGACCAACUGUAACAGUGAAUAUGGUUGAGUAGCGGUGGGCCUUAGGCGGAUCAACAUAGCUACGUGCAAUAUUGCAUAGCCCCAGGCAGAUACUAGCAGUUUGGUUCUCAUAACCAAAAUCUGAGAUAUCAAUUAAAUGCGCUUUAUGAAAGCUUAUGCCAGGCCGUUUUGGAUGUGAACAUACGGUACAGGAUGUUCCACAUCAAUCCCUAAUGACAUGCAAUAAUCGUCAAACAUCUGUGACAUAAACUCUCUAAUGUUAUCCAGUCGAAUCAACUUAAUCGGAUAAUCAGGGUGGUGAGCCCUUAGCUUAAUGAUUUGAGCUAGGAGUUUAGCAAACGCGGUGUUGCGUGUGGACAACAAGCAAACAUGUGACCAUCUUGUCGAUGCAUCAACCAACACCAUAAAUUAUCUAAAUGGUCCACAUGUUGGUUGGAUAUGUCCACAAAUGUCCCCUUGAAUCCUCUAAAGAAACUUAGGGAGGUCGUGAAUAAUCCUUUUGUAUAUAAGGGUUAAGUAUUUAACUUCCCUAAAGAGCACGCUUUGCAUGGCGGGAGUCCAGCAUAUGGAUGUAACUUAUGCCCCGUGUGCAGAUUUGAGGAUACGGCACAUCAUAUCACAUCCAGGAUGUCCCAAACGGUCAUGUCAAAGCAACAAAGUGUCCUAGAACUCAGGCAUAAGGCCGGCCACACUGUGGGCUUCUAUGCUGGGAAUGGUUAUGAUGUACAAUCCACUCGGCAGACGUUUCAACUUCUCGUAAAUAUGCUUCUGGCCAUAUUCGUAUGAAGUGAUACAUAGAAAUUCAGAACCAUUAUCUUCUGUGGUUUCAAGAUGAUAUUGAUUAUCUCGAAUAUCUCUAAAACUCAGCAACGUUCUUCCGGAACGUGGAGAAUAAAGUGCCUUGUUAAUGUUCAAGAUUGUACCAUUAGAUAACAUGAUACGUGCCUUUCCGUAUCCUGCAAUCAGGUUGGAUGAGCUUGAGAGAGUUGUAAAAUGAGCUUUCUUGGGUAUUAAGUUAGUAAAAUAAUGUCGUUCACGCAAGAUGGUGUGUGUGGUUGCACUAUCUGCCAGACAACUAACUUCCCCACUAGACAUACAUAGAAAUAAAUUGAUUAAAUUGGUCACAUGCAUAAAUAUAAGUCCAUUCAUUCAAUUAACCAAUUCGAGAAAAUAAUAUCCAUUCCAAUAACAAUCCCUAAUUCAAAACAAACCAAAACCAAACAAAUUAUUCCAAAUACUUAGAAAAAUUGUUCAAAAUUAAACCAUAAAUCUAGAAAAAUAGGGGGGGUAUGGCCAGCCACUCCUAUUGGGUUCGGCCUUUAGGGGUAAACACCCUAAAAACAUGUCUAAUUUAUUCAUCCAUAAGCGUUGACGCCUCCUGAAAAUCCGAAAUGUCCAUUGAUGUAGUUGCAUCUUCCGGAUGAUCCACAUGUGCAAAGUUAGACUCAUAACUGGAAUGAUACUUGGCAAUAGCCUCAGGGGAAGCUUGACAUAAUAGUGACCAAUGAUCAUUUGAUCCACAAUGAUAGCACAUGUCCAGUUCAGCAGAAGCAGGCUGAACGGGAGCUUUGCCCUUAUUCUUGAAGUUUAUGGCCUUAGGGGAGAGUGGUUGACGCUGCUGGGUUACAUUUCUUCCCUUAGAUGUGGCACUUUGUUGACCUUGGGCUUGUGGUUGGGUUUGCCACCCAUUGCCACAGCUACGAUGAUUCUUUCGUCAUUUAUGGCUACUAGAAUAGGUCGCAUGCGCUUCAGCUUAGGCGUUCGAGCCAAUUGAUCGAGCUUGAUGAUUCUUCAUCAAAAGCUUGGUCUGCUUUUCAGCGAUAAGUAAAACAGAGAUCAAAUCCAAAAACUUGGUGAAUUUAUGUGCCCUAUAUUUUUGCUGCAGGACAAUAUUGGUGGCAUGGAAGGUGGAAUAAGUAUUCUCCAGAAGAUCUGAUUCGGUUAGUUCCACUUUGCAGAAUUUCAACAGUGAACGGAUUCUACAAACUUCAGAGUUGUAUUCAUUCACAUACUUAAAGUCCUGGAAGUGAAGAUGUUGCUAGUCGUGUCUUACUUCAGUAUGUCUUUCUGGCGAUCAAAACGGUCGGCCAGAGCAAGCCAAAGGGUGCGUUGGUCCUCCUCAGCGAGAUACUCAGUCUGCAGUGCAUCAUGGAUGUGCCUUCGAAUGAAGAUCAUUGUAGAAGCCUUCUAAGCUUUGUCAACAGGUUUGUCGGUGGUAGGUGCCUCGAUGGUGGCUCUGAUGCCCUUUGCAGUCAGAUGGAACUUCAUGUCUUGAACCCACUUCAGAUAGUUUCUUCCAGAAAAUUCUAGAGCAGAGAAAUCGAGCUUGUUUAAGUUCCACAUGUCCCUAAAACAGAAGGAAAAACGUGAGUAGUCAUAUGGUAAGCUAUAAACAUAUAUCGUAAAACAUACAGGUUCUAUAGGCAUGUACUGGUUUAAUUGAUGCAUGAAAACUACAGGUUUCAUGUGGUAUGUUUUGAAUAAAAACUGCGGGUUUCAAAGGUACUAAAUUUGAAAUUACAAGUUCAAUUUAGUUUUAUGAACAAUUAGUUCAUAAUGAGAUGUUCCUGCAAGAAACACAGAAUGCAAUAUACUAAUUUGAAUAUAGUGGAUUUGAGGUUCUUCGAGAACUCAAGUGUGAGAGCGUCGUUACUACGAAAGUAUGUGAUGGUUCAAAGUAAAAAAAUAAAUUAUUGAAUCGUUAAUGUCCAAAAGUGAUCUUUAGGUCAAUAAUUUUGGAUUCAUUAUUAUAUUAAUGGACUGCAUGACUCAAUCAAGUACUCGUAAUCCAAGUGGGAUUGCAGUUAUUAAAUUGAAAAUAUGACUUCACCCCUGGAACAUAUAUUUUUCAUCUAAAACCCGACAUAAUUGUUUUACUUGAUUAAAACCCAGUGAUUAGGAUCCCCAUAAGCAUAUUCCUUAAUGAGCUUGAAUUCAAAUAUUUUACAUGUUUCCAAUGGCUAAAUUAUCCCUAACAAUAUAUCAAGUUUUUUUUUUUUAACAAACAAUAUUUUUUACACUAAAGGAGGGGUGAACUUAGCCUCAUAAUGAGCUAGCAAUAAUGAGGUCUAAAUUUGCCUUUGGCGAAAAUUGAAGGUAAGACCUCUCUCUUUAACAAUUGUUCUUGCUUCUUAUUUUUUGUUUGAAAUUGAUUUAUUAUAUGCCACUAGGUAAAUUUGUGCUUGUAAAUAUAGAUAAAUUAGUGUAAAUAUAGGUAAAUUAGUGUAUUUCUUAUGUGAUGUCAUAAAAUAAUGUAUCUAUUCUUUUCUCACCCUUUAGUUGUAAUACUUCGUUGUAUGAAAAUAAUGUGCUUAUAUUGUGUCGGUAGGUAAUUAUUGCACAUGAAAAUGCAGGUAAAUAACUUAUAUAUACCAUAUAAGUAAAUUAGUGAAUCAACAAAUUCUAAAUGGGUACAUUAAUGAUAUAUAAAUAGACAAAACAUUAUGAAACUCAUUGAAGGCGCAAAACAAGGAGUAAAUCAUCCAUAUUGACAUGAUUGGAGAAUACUUGCAAUUUUGUAAAAUAAUUGCAGUAAUCGGUCAACUAUUUCUCUAGCUUGCAACUCAUAUUAAAUUUUGGGUUUUAUUUAGAGGUUAAGAAGUGCACGGGUAUAUUGAACUCCCGAAAAAAAAAAAAAAAAAAAAAAAACAAACAAACAGGUGAGUUUACGUUUAUGAAAUAAGAGUUACAAGUCUAUAAACAACCUUUAAACCAGAAGUUCCGCCGCCAUAGUUGUCGUACUGAACCUCGUGCAUGGUCUCAUUGGCCAUAGUCUCUCAGUUGUAAGUCCAACCAACAUUCCGAAGAGCCGCAGAAACUUGAAGCUCCUCCCUCCCGGAUUCUAAGAAAUACAGAGCUUAUGCUAGUACAGCAAUAGACCCAUUAGCCCAUAUCUAUUGGGGAACAAACUGAUACGAGUGAUUCAUAAUGAUGUUGACUGAUUAACCCUUGUCUAUUGUGGAACAAAUACACGUGAUUCAUAUUGAUUUAGACACUACACUGAGUAUAUGGUCCCCCCGCUAAAUGUACAGUACGUAUGUGGUCCAUAUGUCAAAAAGACGAUACAAUAAGUCCCCAUGUUAAAUGUACAGUACGUAUGUGGUCCAUAUUAGAUCUGACAUUUGUGUCCUGUUUUUCGUAUUCGUGUCAGUUUCAUGUCAUACCUGAUAUCUUAACGGAUCGUGUCGUGUAAUACCCGUUAAAAUAAACGGGUAAAAUAAUCCGACCCGAAAUCAACCCGAUAAUAUAAACAGGUAAUAUGACCCGACCUGUUACCUAUUAAGGAAAAUAUAUUUUAAACCAAUAAAUAAUCAAAUGAAAAACAUAAUACUCAAUAAGUAUAUACAUAUCUUAUUGUCACAUCCAAAACAUAAAAACGUAUUUUUCUUUUAAGUAUAUUUUCACUUACCUAAAGUCUUUAAUAGUUUUUUAAUUAAUGUAGAAGGGUAAAAAAAUAUAAAAAAUAUAUAUAAACGCUCAUAAUGACAAGCUUUACAACUUUCAUGAAUAGCUUAACUUUGAAAUUCGCCAUUAUAAUCAUAUAAAUCAUAGAUCAAAAUUUAACUGUUGAUUGUUGUUUACAUUUACGCUUCAUUGUUCUCAUCAAAAUUUUUUUUUCUUCAGAUUUUCUUUUUUGAAAACUUGAUCUAUUAGAGGAUGCAGAAAGAUAAACUGUUUGGAUCGUUGAUAUUAUAUUUAGAGUUUCACGGUUAGUGAAAAUAUUGCUUGAUGUUUAUAAAGUUUCUACAAACUAUAUGACAUCGACUCAUAUUUCAGUUAACCGUAAAUAUCAAAACGUGAUAUCAAAGAUCUGAAUCGUUCAUCUUCUUACAUCUGCCAGAUGAUCAUGUUUUCAAAAGAAGAUAAUUUUUAAAAUAAAAUUCAGUAAGAAGAAUAAAGUGUAAAUGACAAUCGACGGUUAAAUAUAAAUUGAAGGUUUAUAAAUUAUAGUGUUGGAUUUCGAAGCUGACCCCUUCAUGAAAGCUGUAAAGUUUGUCACUAUGAGUGAUUUUGUAUUUUUUUUAUACAUUUUUUACACUUCUACAAUAAUUAUUAUUAAUUUUAUUAAUUUUGUCCUCAAAUAAAAAAUAUUAUUCAUGAAGGUUUGGAAGAUUUUAAAAAUCUAAACGAUAAUGUAAGUGUAACCAUUAUCUACUCGUGGAGGAAUAAUGAUGACUUGCGAGUGUUUAUAUAUUUUUUCAUAUUUUUCAUACUUGUAUGUAUGUCUUCUUAGUUUUUGCCUAUACAAAUAAUAUAUUAGUUUAUUUUAAUUUUGGACAACAACAUGUUAAUUAAAAUUUAUCUUAGUAAUGAUAAUAAGGAACUCUCAUAAUAAAAAUAAAUAAUGACAAAAACUUUUUUUUUUAAACUUAUAUAAAAUAAUAAUACAAAACUUUAUAUUUAAUAUAGAAUAUAUUGUAUAUAUUAAUAUAGCUAUUGUAUUUUAUAAUAAAUCUUUUAGUAAUUAAACUUUAAAAUUAUCAAAAUAAAUUUUUUCCUAACGGGUCGAAACGGGUUACCCGCAUGUAUACCCGUUCAAAAUCCGUUAUUAACGGGUUCUUAACAGGUCACCCGAUAAGUUAUCGUGUUGACCCGAAAUCCGUUAUUUUUCGUGUCGUGUCACUGUUCCAUGUGAGAAAUUACCGGGUCUAGUCCAUAUGUUAAAUAGACAAUAGAAUAAGUCCCUAUGUUAAUUAGACUACACGUAUGUGGUCCAUAUGUUAAAUAUACCAUAAGCAGGGUUCUAAAAAACAUUAGGUGCUAGUCGGGCGGCGAGCUAGUGCCUAGCGCUUAGGCGGCCUAGGCGGAUUUAGGUAAAUUUCUUGUAUAUCUUGUAAAUAAGUGCAUAUUGACACUUACAAAAAAUUAUACUUGUAUGAAAUUCAUGGAUAAGAUAAUAAAAAAAUGAUAAAAUGCAAAAAGAGUAUCCAACAAGUUCAAAAUUUUAAAACACAUUAAGCAUAUAUGUCAUAUAACCAUAAUGAGGAGUAUUGUAGGAUGACACAUGUACGACAAGCUGACAAUUUAAAACCACAUAUUCAGCGGAUUUAAGUAAAUUUAUUAUAUAUCAUAUAAAUAAGUGUUUGUUCAUAUCUAAAAUAUACAUAAUUUCAUUUAAAAUUAUAAGAUAAUCAAAUUUAAACAUUAAAUAAUAUGUUCUUUUUUAAGCGAGAGCUUUAACAUUUUAAGUACAUAAUAAAAAUACAUAUGGUAUGAUCUUAAAAAAAUAAAAUAAAACAUUACAACAAAAAAAUAAAAAAAAGAAUGAAAAGUAAUAACGGGUUAAGAGUGGAAAAAGAAAAGGGCAUAAAAAGUAGUAAAAAAAUGGUGAGAACCAUUCAAAGAAAACGUGCAGUCUGUAAUGGAUGCUUUUCCUAGAUAAAAGAUGGUGGGGACCAUCUUGAUUGAAUCAUGCAAACUGAAUAAUGAUCCAUGUUUACAACCAGACAAAAACAGAAACAAUAUUAAAAACAAAAUAAAUAUGUUAUAGUCGUAAUAAAUAAAUUAGCCUUAUGCAGAAACCAAGAUAAAAAACAAAUAAACAAAUUAAACAGCACAGGAAACAAGGAGAAAAAAUAGAUAAACUAAUUAACUAGCACAGGAACCAAGGAGAAAGAAAAUAAAGUAAAGCAUCAUCUUCAUCUUCUUCGCGUUGAGUUGCACGACGGCUCUGCAACAAUUUUUUCAGAUUCUGGCGUGCUCUACGUAGGCCCUCCUAGCCUUCGCCCAACACCGUCCUGACCAGCAUAACUCCGCCUAGUCCCACCUAAUCCCGCUUAAGCGUCCGUCAAAUAUAUUUCCGAUUUUGUGUCCGAUUAGACCAUCUCCAACCCUUGGGCUAAAAGCCAAAUUUUUUAGCCCGGAAAAUUUAGCUUUUAGCCCAGAAACAUCUUUUCUGCUCCAACCCUUCUACUCUAAAAUUUUAGCCCGGAAUUAUUAAAGAAUGAAAUUAGCCUAAAUUUUUUUCUUAAAUCAAUUUUUAAAAAAAAAAUAAAUAUGUAGAUUAUUGUAAAUUAAUUUUAUGAACAUUUUAAUCUAAAAAAAUUUAAAUUCCGAUAAACAUUUCGCAUUUAGCCCGGGGGGAAUUUGGGGGGGAAUUUGGCCCAACUUUAGCAUUCCCCUUUUAGCCCAAUAUUUUAGCUUGGGUUGGGGGGUGUUUGGGGGGAAUUUUGGGCUAAAUAUUUGGCAUUUAGCCCAGGGUUGGAGUAGGUCUUAGAAGCUAAUCGCAGCAGCAACCGAACGCCCAGCGCCUAGGCGACCGCCUAGACCGACUUUUAGAACACUGACCAUAAUUGUAUGCAGUGGCGAAGCCAGGAUUUGCCGAGAAGAGAGGUGAAAUUUAAAAGAGUGCAAGAUUCAAUUGAAGCGGUUACUUUUAUAUUAGAGAGUGCAAAGUUUUGAGUCCAUAUUUAUAGCAGAAAAUAGUGUCUCCACCAAAGCGGUUGUAAGCAGUAAUAUCAAAGCCAAUGUAAUAAGCUUAAAUUGGCUAGGUUUAUAUUCUAAAAAAAAUACGCUAGUCAAGCAGCUAACUGGAACCUAGUAGCUAGGCGCCUAGGAGAGAUCUAGGUAGGAGCCUAGUGGGAUUUAAAUGAAUUUCUUUUAUCGUAAAAUAAGCAUUAUGUUGUAAGCCUAUUUGAUUGAACGAUCUAGGGUUUAGAGAGAGAGAAGGGGCCGACUAUGGUUAGAGAGAAGAGAGUGAUUUAAUUGUGAGGUGUGUUUGAUUCACCCUAUUGUGUCUUUAUUUAUAGUAGUAGGAUAGGUAAAAACCUUUCCCUUUAGGAUCACAACAUUUAAUAGGUAAUCAACUCCUAAUAGGAAUAGAAGAUACAUUCCCAGAUUCCCUAGGAUUUAUACAAUCACAUUCCUAUUCUAAAUAUGACUGCAACACUCCCCCUUGAGUGUGUAAAUACUCAACAAACCAUCGCAUCAGAUCUUCAGCAGAUAAGGUAGAAUAGUUGAUGAAGUCAUCGGCACAACGGAUGAUUGCGAGUCUCAAAUUUAAGUGAAGUAUGCAUUUGUAGUAAAACUCACAAAAAUAUCGUUAUGGUAAAACCCAAGUCAUGGGGAAAACCCAUGGACUAAGGAGAAAAGUGAGAAGUAUGUAUAAUGUCUUUAAACAAACGUCAAAUUGGACGAAGGUAGUGAACUCAAUGGAGUAUGAUCAUCCCAAGAUGAGUGUCUCAUUAAAACCUCGUUAGGUAGCAAAAACCCAGUGGAAAAUGCUCUUAAUCGUAGGAAAAAGAGUACAUUAAGAUCAUGUGAGUAUGUUUCUAGAUAUUCCCCCUGAGUUAGACAUAACUUCUAAAUAAGAGAACUACAAGCGACUCAACUCAGAUAAUUUAAGCAUUUUGAUUCCUUGGACGAGCUUCUGAAAAGUAGACUUGGGCAAUAACUUGGUGAAGAGAUCAGCCAGGUUGUCCUGGGAACGGAUUUGCUUGACCUCAAUGUUCUGAUGCUACUACUGUUGGUGUGAGUAAAAGAACUUCGGGUUAUGUGCUUGGUUUUGUCUCCCUUGAUGUAUCCCUUCUUCAACUGCUUGAUACAUGUCGCAUUGUCUUCAAAUAUCGUCGUAAGAAGGUCAACGACUGAUGUAAGACCACUAAUGCUUCAAAUAUGUCCUAUAAGAUAUAGCGGUGUCUCUAAAGGUAAAGACAUAUCCUGUUUGAGAACGUGCCAUGUGUGGGUCAAACAGAUAUCCAGCAUCUGCGUAACCAACAAGGCGAGAAUCAAUCCGAGAACCAUAAGGGGCGGUAACACUCGAAGAUUCGUAGGUAUAGAACAAGCCCAAAUCCGUUGUACUUUUGAGGUAGCGAAAAAUGUCUUUAACAUCAUUCCAGUAACUGCAUGUGGGCGCAUUGCUGUAUCUUGCCAAAAUGUUCACAGCAAAUGAGAUGUCGGGUCUAAUGCACUGAGCCAAGUACAAUAAAGCCCCAAUUGCACUUAGGUAAGGAACUUUGGGUUCCAAAAUCUCUUCCUCAUCCCCUUUUGGAUGGAAGGAAUCUCGUUUAGCAUCUAGAGUCCGAACGACCAUGAGUGUACUCGAAGGUUUCGCUUUAUCCUCAUUAAAAGGAUGUAACACCUUUUGGGUGUAGUUCAAUUAAUGUACUAGGAUUCCAUGCAAACAAUGCUCGAUCUCCAGGCCAAGACAGUAUCGAGUUUUACCAAGAUCCUUCAUCUCAAAUUCCGAUUUCAAAUGCGCAUCAAUUUCCUCAUGCUUUACGGGACUCCCAAUGAGGUUCAUGUUAUCGACAUAAACUGCAACGAUUGCAAAUAAGGAAUGUGACCUCUUUAUGAACACGCAUGGGCAUAAUUCGUUGUUCACAUAACCCUGAUUUGUUAAAUAUUCACUCAGACGGUUAUACCACAUUCGCCCGGAUUGUUUCAAUUCGUAGAGUGACCUCCUCAACCUAAUAGAGAAAGUGUUCCAUGGUCUAGAACUAUUUGAACUAGUCAAUGGAAGUCCUUCUGGAACUUUCAUGUAAAUUUAUGUAUCUAGAUCCCCAUAGAGAUAAGCGGUUACCACGUCCAUAAGCUGCAUAUUCAGUUUUUUGAAAACUAUCAAACUGAUUAGGUAAUAGAAUAUUAUAAUGUCCAUUGCGGGGGAAUUCGUCUCCUUGUAAUCAAUCCCACGGCGCUGAGAAAAACAUUGUGCUACGAGGCGUGCUUUGUAUCACACUAUUUCAUUAUUCUCAUUAUGCUUCCUCACAAAAACCCACUUGUAGCCAACGGGCUUCAAGCGUGGUGGUGUAGGAACGAUAGGUCCAAAUACCUUACGUUUCAUGAACGAAUCGAGUUCAACCUAGAUUGCUUGUUUCCAGUUUGACCAAUCAGUUCUACGUCGGCAUUCAUCCAUCAAAGAAACGUGGUUCAAUGUCAUCGGUAAGCAUGAUAUCAGUAGCUACUGAAUACGCGAAUGCAUCAUCGACAAUCAUCUUAUUCAUAUUCCAAACCUUAUCCAAUAUUACGUAAUGGACCAAAAUCUUGUGAUUCUCGAGAGGCUGGCAUGUUUCAUCUAAAGCAUCACCAUAAUCUAGAAUAACCUAAUGCGUUGGAACAGAUGAGUGAGUGAUGGUCGGAUUCAACCUCUAGGGGUAAACACCUUAAAAAAAACAUGUCUAAUUUAUUCAUCCAUAAGCGUUGACGCCUCCUGAAAAUUUGAUAUCUCCAUUGAUGUAGUUGCAUCUUCCGGAUGAUCCACAUGUGCAAAGUUAGAUUAAUGACAGGAAUGAUACUUGGCAAUAGCCUCAGGGGAAGCUCGACAUAAGCAUGACCAAUGAUCCCUUGAUCCACAACGAUAACACAUGUCCAGUUCAGUAAAAGCAGACUGAACGGGAGCUUUGCCCUUAUUCUUGAAGUUUAAGGCUUUAGGGGAGAGUGGUGGACGCUGAUGGGUCACAUUUUUUUCCCUUAGGUGUGACACUCUAUUGACAUUGGGCUCGUGGUUGGGCUUGCUGCUCGUUGCCACGGCUACGACGAUUCUUUCAUCGUUUAUGGCUCCUAAAAUAGGUCGCAUGCGCUUCAGCCUAGGCGUUCGAGCCAGUGGGGUCAAGCUUGAUGAUUCUUCAUCAAAAGCUGGUUCUGCUUUCAGCAAGAAGGAAUACAGAGAUGAAAUCCGAAAACUUGGUGAAUUUAUGUGCCUUAUAUUGUUGCUGCAGGACAAUAUUGGUGGCAUGGAAAGUGGAAUAAGUCUUCUCCAGGAGAUCAGAUUCGUGAAAACUACAGAAGGAAAAACGUGAGUAGUCAUAUGGUAAGCCAUAAACAUAUAUCGUAAAACAUACAGGUUCUGUAGGCAUGUAUUGGUUUAAUUGAUGCAUGAAAACUACAGGUUUCAUGUGGUAUGUUUUGAAUGAAAACUUCGGAUUUCAAAGGCACUAAAUUUGAAACUACAAGUUCAAUUUAGUUUUAUGAACAAUUAGUUCAUAAUGAGAGGUUCCUGCAAGAAACACAUAAUGCAAUAUACUAAUUUGAAUAUAGUGGAUUUGAGGUUCUUCGGGAACUCAAGUAUGAGAGCUUCGUUACUACGAAAGUAUGUGAUGGUUCAAAGUAUAAAAAUAAAUUAUUAAAUCGUUAAUGCCCAAAAGUGAUCUUCAGGUUAAUAAUUUUGGAUUCAUUAUUAGAUUAAUGGACUGCAUGACUCAAUCAAGUACUCGUAAUCCAAGUGGGAUUGCAGUUAUUAAAUUGAAAAUAUGACUUCACCCCUGGAACAUAGAUUUUUCAUCUAAAACCCGACAUAAUUGUUUUACUUGAUUAAAACCCAGUGAUUAGGAUCCCCAUAAGCAUAUUCCCUAAUUAAGCUUGAAUUCAAAUAUUUUACAUGUUUUCAAUGGCUAAAUUAUCCCUAAUAACAAUUGGAUUUAGACAUUUCUUUUCCUAUUCUAUAUCAUUUUUUUUAACAAACAAUAUUUUCUACACUAAAGGAGGGGUGAACUUAGCCUCAUAAUGAGCUAGCAAUAAUGAGGUCCAAAUUUGCCUUUGGCGAAAAUUGAAGCUAAGACCUCUCUCUUUCACAAUUGUUCUUUUUUCUUAUUUUUUUUUGUUUGAAAUUGAUUUAUUAUAUGCAACAAGGUAAAUUUGUGCUUGUAAAUAUAGAUAAAUUAGUGUAAAUAUAGGUAAAUUAGUGUAUUUAUUAUGUGAUGUCAUAAAAUAAUGUAUCUAUUAUUUUCUCACCCUUUGGUUGUAAUAUUUCGUUGUAUGAGAAGAAUGUACUUAUAUCUUGUUGGUAGGUAAAUUAUUACACAUGAAAAUGCAUGUAAAUAACUUAUAUAUACUGUAAACAUGGAAAUUCUUGAAACAAACGAAACAAGAACACAUGUACAAAAUAAUAUUUUGUAUUAAUGAUUUUUGAGGUUACAAUCUCUCUCAAAUUUAAUCCUCUGAUUCGAUCUCCAUGAGGUGUUGAUUUGUGGAUGUGCGAUUGAUCCAAGGGCCAUUGAGGCUUGAACUUGGAUGAACGGUUGGAAAUUUCUUCAAGGGGCUUUAGGCCUAAUCUUGAGGGUUGAUGGAUGAACGGAUCUUCAAGGCUUUUGAGCUUGAUCUUGAAGAACUGUUGAUGAACGGAUCUUCAAGGGCUUUUGGGCUUGAUCUUGAAGAACGGUUGGAUGUGUGGAUUUAUUGAUGUUGUUGAUCCAAAAGGUCGUUGGGGCUUGAUCUUAGGAUGAAUGGAUUUAGUCACACGCUACGUGUAAAAUUUAUGUGACACUUGAGCAUUGAAAUUGUAAUUGUUGGUCAACAUUUAUUUCACCGAAAUUUCAAUGUCUACAAAUGCCCCCACUUCAAGGCGCGUCGUAUACAUGUGCUUGUCACGUGUAGGAGAUGCAUUUUAAAGUCCCUUAAUGUAAAUGUCGAUCCAAUGGCCAUCGAUGCUUGAUCUUGAAUUGGGCUGGAGAUUUCUUCAAGGGUCGUUGAGGCUUGUUCUUGAACUUUGUUUGAAAUUUCUUCAAAGGCCGUCGAGGCUUGAUCUUGAAUUAAAUUGGACCACAAGGAGCUUCAUGUGGUAGAUGAUCUUUGGCUUUGGUAGUGGAUGAAUCGGUACGUAUUUUCUUGCGCUUGUUGACUUUCCACAACUUUGAUCUUGAACUGGGUUGGAGGAUUUUCUGGUUUCCUCCAAUUAUUGACUUUCCACUGGCUUAUUCUUGAACUGGGUUGAGGGGUUUCUUCUGCUAGACUUACCCCAAAAUGUCUGGAUUUACUCCUUUUAUCUGGAGCUGAAUUUGGUUCAAGGAUGGUGGACACUUAAUCUUGAAUCGGACGUGAUUUCUUCAAGUUGGUGACUUAAUCUUUAAGGAUUUGAUUCAAGGGUGGUGAAUCGGCACGUGCAGCUCACAACGCCUAGCGAGUAGACUCAAGAAUUUGAGGGUCAAAACAAGUCCGCCAAAUCUAGAGUACUUGCAACCCUGACGAUAUGAGAUAUUUUUUGCUUUUGAAGAAGUAGCAGGUGAAUCGGCACAUGUUUGCUGUGCUUGUCUCCACAUGCUUCAAUGUAGCAUUUUCACUUACCUUAUCUGUUCUUCAGGCAGAUUUGGUAUCUUCUGCUAGACUUGUCUAUUUCCCCGGCGGAGCAAUGCUAGGUAAGCAAUCAGGAAAGGGUUCCAGGUAGUCGGUUCCUGACUAGGAGUUUGACUUCAAGUUCCGACUGAUUGCUCUCUUUCUUCUUGUCCUGUAGGUAAGAACAAGGACAAAGAAAAUGACAGGGAGAAAGCAUGAUAUGAGAUACUCUUGUUUUCGAAGAAGUGGUGGCGAUUUGACAGCAUUGCAUAGUGAGGCUUUGUUCUUCGGGGAUGGUGCCAGCGAAAGGCUAUUGAAGCUUUUCGAGCUCUUUGAUUAGGGCAACGAUGCCAAGCUUAGCUUUGAUUUAGACUCAUCCAUCUGGGUUAUGCGGUUCUGCAGGGAAGGGCGUCGUGCUAUAGUGAUCUGUUCUGGCUCAUCAUUGAUCCUUCUGCUUCAAUCUCUUGCAGUAUUUGCCCCCGAUGCAGGAGUGGAAUGCAAUCUUUGCAUUUAAAUGGCCUUUCAGAGCACUACUUCUUAGCGGCGAUGAGCACUCAAGAGCACUGCCAGGUAAGCAACCAGGCAAAGGUUCCGGGCAAUCAAUUCCAGAUCAGAAGUUUGAUUUCAAGUUCCGACUGAUUGCUUUCUUUCUCCUUGUCUUGCAGGUAAGAGCAAAGGUAAAGGAAAAGACGAGGAAAAAGCAUGAUAUGAGAUACUCUUGCUUUCUAACCUGAUGAUAUGAGAUACUUUUGUUUUGAUGUCAUUUGUUUGCAAGGGUAUUCCUGGAGAGGAAGAAAACUGAGUAUUUCAAGAGGCUAUACUAGGAGUGUACUCUCGGAGGUGAGGAAGAGUUGGGCAUUUUUUGUAGGUCUGCCUUGCUAUGGAGGACGAAGGUCGACAUAUAUAGGAAUUUUCCAACAGCCAGUAGUGGCACUAUUUCUUUACUCUUGUCGGCAACUGUUAGGUAAUUGAAACAGUAAGAUUCACGCGUUUUCGACUUUGUCAGAAAUCUUUGACAAAGUUGUCCGUGCUUUCUGCAAAGUUGAAAGGGUGGCGACAAACUUUGAUCCGGAAAAUCCAAUUUUUUUUUUAAUUCACAUAGCAGUGCCUCUUCGAUCUGUGAACCGGUGGCCUUGUUGCCUUUUUUAUUUCUGAACAAAAGGCCCGACUUUUGAAAUUCAGGGAGAGGUGCCUUUUUGGUUUCUGAACGGUCACGUUGCCUCUUCGAUUUCUGAACAGGCCUUGUUGCCUCUUCUUUUUUAUAGAGGCAUGAAUUCUGUUCAAAACACACUUAGAGAGUUGUCGCAUGUAGGAAUUUUUUUUUUUUAAUAUUUCUGAGAAUUCGAUUUACCCGACCUCUUCUUCCUUUAUCAUUUUUUUUACAAAUGGCUUGCCUAUCUGAUCGUCUUCUUGAUUUGAAUGUUGGGGAAGAUGUUGAUAUGUCUUCUCCAUACAACAUAUGGCACCCAUCCUUCUUAUCCCUCACCGGUUCUCUUACGGUUAGGGACUCUGUGAUGAAGAAUGACAUCACUGCUAUGGUGGUUGCUAGAAAUCUUCUCACCCCCAAGGAUAGCAGGAUCAUUUCCAAACGGUCUGAUGAGAUGGUUGUUCAGGACUCUCUGGCUUUCAGUGUUCAGUGUGCGGGCUCCGUAUCAAAUAUGGGCCAACGCCUUCUUGCUCGAACUCGUCAAGUCGAGUCACUAAUGGCUGAGGUGGCGAGUCUUAAGCAAGAGAUUAGAGGGCUUUAGCGUGAAAACAGAGUUGCACAUACUUGCCAAUAGUUACUCGACGAGCAUGAAGAGAAAGCUUGACCAGCUGCAGGAAUUCGAAAGUCGGAUUCAGAGUGACCAUCAUAUGGUUGUGGCUUUACUCCAGAGACACAUAUUGCAUUUGUCCUCUGGCGUUUUACCGAGUGUUGAGGCUCCAAACAAUCAACCUCCGGCGUCUCUUCUUCCCUGAGUUUCGCCGAGUGAUGAGGUGCCACCUGAGCAACCUUCUUGAAAUCAAUAAAUGAGGCUUUUUUCACUCAAUGGAUUUUUUUUAUUUUUUCUUUUCUUUUCUUUCGCAUGGUGCUGAUCCACCAUUCAAUUUUUUAUAUAUUUCUUUCUUUUCUUUCCUUCACGCGGUAAGGCACCAUUCCAAAACUUUUUUUCUUUCUUUCAUAUGGUGCAAUUCGCACCAUCCCACCUCCCUACUUUCUUUUGCUUUUUUUUUGUUUUUUUGUAUUUUUUAUCCUUCUUUUCAAAGUGGGCUGAUGGUGAUGAUCCUUUACAAUUUUUUAUUAGUAUUUUUUUUAUUUUUUUUCACAUGGUGCUGUGCACCAUCCAAACUUUUAUACUUUUUUUUUGUCGGCCAUAUAUAUAUAUAUUUUUUCUUUCUUUUAACGUGGUGGCACCACUUUGCUCCACCAUCCCAUUUUUUAUUAUUUUUUGGGUAAAUUACAUAGUAGCCCCUUAGGUUUGAGAUCUAUUACAAUCUCAUACAACAUCUUUAAAACAUUUCACUUUCAUGCCUCAAGUACUAUUUUAUUUCAAAAUAAUACCUCUGUUACAUUUUACAUCCAUUGAUCCGUUAAAUGCUGACGUGGCUGUCAAAUAUGUGCCACAUGGCUGCCAAAUGUAUGCCACGUGGCAAAAAUAAUAAUUUUUUAUUUUUUAUUUUUGAAAAAUCUUAAUCUUCUUAUAAAAAAUAUAAAAAAUAAUAAAAUAAUAAAAAAUAAAUAAAAAAAACCAAAACUUAGAAAACACAGAACCACCCCCGCAACCUCUCCCUACCCCUCUUUUCCCUCCCAACCACCUCCCUCUCCUCCACUCUCUUCACCUCCCCUCCCAUCCAAAAACCCACCCCACUCCCUUUCUCCCUUCUCUCAUAUGUAACCUCACCCACAACAUUCCAACAUAUUCAAAUCAUGAAAUUAAACAACAAUUUUCUCAAUUCAUACACAGAAAUCCAAGAGUUUAACCUUAAGGGACAGCAACCACCAUUCCUUGAAGCUCUGGAGUGAGGACGACCUGCCAUCCCAGCCUUGAGAACCCUAGCCCUAGAGUUCCUCUUCAGCACGUACUCCUUGUCGUAGGACCGCAGAGGGAGGUGGCUCGACGAAGGGAGCUUGUCGCCGGGGGCAAGGUUCGUGAGAGCUUGUCGUUGCCGGAGCUUAUCGUCGCAGGGGGGGAGGGUAGUCACGCAAGCUUGUAGCCGCAGCCGGGGGGGCGGAGGGGGCUUCAGGAAGAGCCUCUGCGAGGUGGGGUGAGGUGGGUCGUCUGGAGAGGGGGUGUUUAAGUUUAUGGGUUUUUGUGUAUGGGUAUGGAGGGAAGGGAAGAGGGGUUCAGCUUUUGCUUUUGUUUUUUUUAAGAAGAUUCAAAAUUUUCAAACAAAAAUUAUUAUUUUUGCCACGUGGCAUACAUUUGGAAGCCACGUGACACACAUUUGGCAGCCACGUCAGCACUUAACGGAUCAAUGGAUGAAAAAUGUAACAGAUGUAUUAUUUUGAAAUAAAAUAGUACUUAAGGUAUGAAAGUGAAAUGUUUUAAAGAUGUUGUAUGGAGUUGUAAUAGACCUCAAACCUGAGGGGCUACCAUGUAAUUUACCCUUUUUUUUGUAUAAAUUUUGAUGAUGGGCUGGGGAAUUUGCAAGGAAGGACGAAGACGGAAGGAGAGCUAGAGUCAAGAUUAGUGGUAGUGCAAAGCGUCGAGCUUCACGACCAGCUAGUCAUUUGACGGUGGUCGUUGAAGUUCUUCGCCGACUUUGAUCAUGGCGACCAAAGUGACGAGCUUGAGGUAGUGCAAAGCGUCGAGCUUCAUGACCGGCUAGUCGUUUGACGGUGGUUACUGAAGUUCUUCGUCGAUUUUGUUCAUGGUGGCCAGAGUGAAGAUGACUCACAGGUUUAGAUGCAGGAGCAUGGAGAGCACAGACGAAAGUGCGUUGAGGGCCGAAGAAGAAUGCGAGGAGACUGAGGAAGAAGCCCUUCCUCUUGUUCUGCCAUGGAAGAUGAACCUCUUCGAAAUCUGAAGCUCUACUACUACCACAACUGAGCACAACCAACAGACUCCGCCACGUCAAUUCCCUGGGCUCCCCCAAAGACACCUUUGCUUCAUGCUAAUCGUUGGAUAAGUGACAGCCGCAACUCUACCUCUCUACCCAGCGAGAGCCCCACCACAAGGUCACACGCCACCGAGAAUCUCUGCCCAACUAGCCGCUGCCAUGCUGCUGUCUGUGUCUUUCUUCUCUCAGCAACUAAUGUAUUGCCAGCCAUCUCGUUGUUUCCUCUGUGAGCCUCAUCAACGCCUACCGAGCCCUUGCCGAUGAUGCACGUCAUUCCUUUGAUCGCUUCAACGUAUUCAGCAACUCGACUGAGUCGCACAAGCCCAAACAACUCAACCUCUCAUCGAACUUGUUGACUUGGACUAUAGUUUCAGUCAUCGCACAAAUCUAGUCUGAAAGAGGCCGAGCUCAAGGUGUGGAGGGUCUGGAGCUUGACGCAGUGGACGUGGGAGGGCGGUGUGGAGAAGUUGAGAUAAUAUGAUCUCAGACACACUGAUAGAGAAGACUUGGAAAAACUUUGAUUUAUUGUACAACCGAAGGGCAGACGAGCCCCGUUGACUUGACUUCAAGUCUCCUCCGUCUGUGAGUCUUCAAGCUGAGAGUUUCGACCUAAACCACUAAGACCGCUUCCAUUAUAAUUGCCUUCGUAAAAAAAAUACAAAGUUCAUGGCCACCAACCAAGCAUCUUCACUCUGUGAGGCUGAUAUGUACACCCCAUGUGCAAUCUGUCACAUAUGUGUUACUUCUGCAUCAACUUCAACAUCAUAUGCGAAUAAUUUCCCAUCACUUGGGCAGCUGAGGAAGAGAAGUGGAGAGCUUGGAGGUUCAGCCCUGUAAAGAUGCAAAGUCCAGAAUGGAGCAACCCAGCCGAACCGACUCGAUUCUGGCAGGAGAUUUUGGAAAGGGAUCUUGAUGGUGAGAAGGGGGCCAAGAAUGAGUCUCGGUCUGCAAGACACUUCUCCAAAACAUUUCUCCAUAAAUGAACCCCAUUCUCAUCUUCGUACACAUCACAGAGGUUAAUCGUAUUCGAGCGCUGCGAUAGAUUCUCAACAAUCUUCCUCAUCACCAGGAUUUCAUUUGUGAGCAGCACACUUGAUAUGGACACUUGUUUUCGGGUUUGGAAAACGGCAACAGCAAAGUUAUUCUGGUCUCCUCUUUCUUGAUCUCUCGGCAGCAUCCCUGUUUCUCAACUGCCUUCUCGUUUUCUUGGAGAUAGGAUUGUCGUCAAGAAUUUCACUAAGAUGGCGUGGCUUGAUCCCAAGUAGUAUGCGAAUGAAGCUUGGGGUGUUGGGAGGAGGUACAUCCAUGGCUGGGUGUCGAUAGUGGUAGUGCUCGCAGCUCUUAGAUCUGAUGAAUAGCAACCGAAGUUGGCUUGUGCGUCGAGGCCGAAGGCAAUGAAUGCGAGGUUGGUGAGGAAGGACACGGGUCCAGCGGUUGCUGGAAUUGGGUUGCGCCGGCGCUGAAGAGCACGGAGGAAGCAGAGCGGCAAAACGAUGGUGGUGAAGGGCAGCUUUCGCGGAGGAUCUAGAACCAGGCGUCGUCUAACCGCCCGCGUGAUCGUACAUGUAAGACAUGAAGCUUAGAAUCACAGUGAAAGCGUCCUCCAUCUCUCGCCUUCUCAGCCAGGUUGACGAUCUUCGAAACCGUCGAUUCGCUCGGUUUCACAUCCUCCGAAGCCAUUUCAGCAGAAAGAGUGAGACUUGGGCCUCUUCAUGGGCCUAUUGGGUAUGGGAUCCGAUGGAGGUCAGGAGGGUAUGGCUUGGGCCUGGAUUUGGGCUGCUCAUUUCUGUGGACUUCAACUUGUGUUUCUUUGAUUUGGCACGGGUCUUAAGUGUAAGAAGACCCACUUUAACAUGUAUACAUUUUUUUUAAAUUUUUUUUACUACAAAGAAUAUUGUUUUUUUUUAUUUGUAAUAAAAUUGACUCUCAAUAGUCAAACAUUUAAUAAAACCUUAUUUUUUAUUUUGACGUGACUGUACUCGAAGUUGAUCGUUCGAGUUGCUUACGUACCCUUCCAAAGAAGAGAUCAAGUCAUAAUGUAGUUCAAAUACAUAUUUUUUUCGAUUUGUUUUAGUCCCGUACGUAGUUUAUGCUCUUGCGGGCUAGGAGCAUGGUCCGUUUGUUUUAGGGGUAGUAGCGCUUCAAGAAUCUGCCAUUGAUGGGGCCGAUAUUCAAGCUGUCUUCUGCCAUGAUUAAGUAGGCGCCAUUGGUGUAGACUUUUUCUAUUACGCCAGGUCCAUCCCACUUUGAUGUGAACUUGCUUUUUGUUUUGUGAGUUAUGAUGAUAAGUCUACGCAAUGUAAGAACGAGAUCUCCCACUUGAAAAGAACGAGGGCGAACUUUCUUGUUGAAAGCCUUGGAGAGUCGUGCUUUAUAACACUCCAAGUGCUGCUGAGCUUCAAGCCUUUUCUCAUCCAGUGCUUCCAGCUGUUGAAGAUGCAACUUUGUGUUUUCUUCAUCAGUCAAGCCUUCUUGUAUAGCCAUCCUUAGUGAGGGGAUUUGGCUUUCGAGUGGCAGAACAGCUUACACGCCGUACACGAGAGAAUAAUGCGUAGCUUGGGUAAGAGUCUUAUGUGUCGUCCUAUAUGCCCAAAGUGCUUCGCUUAUUCUUUCUUGCCAGUUUCUCUUUAUUCGGCCGAUCACCUUCUUUAGGAAGCUGCACAAUGUUUUGUUGAAUGCUUCUGCAAGACCGUUGGCCGGAGUAUGAUACAUGGAAGACUUGUGUAGUUUGAACUUGUAUUUCUCACAGAGCUCGUCCAUGAGUCGGUUGGAGAAUCGUUUUCCAUUGUCAGUGAUGAUGUAGCGAGGCACACCAUAUCGGUGGAUGAUAUGUUCCUUGAUGAAACAGACAACAGCUUCCUUCUUGACUUCCCUUAGGGGUAUGGCUUCAGCCCACUUGGAGAAGUAAUCUGUUGCAGCUAUGAUGUAAGCUUCUUCUGUAGAUGACUUUGGUGCAAUCGGCCCUACGACAUCCAAUCCCUAUGCAUUGAAUGGCCAUGAAACAACUGUAGGGUGUAAUGGUUCAGGUGGUUGAUGUAUGAAGUUGGCAUGGAAUUGGCAGGCUUAGCACCUUUUGGCGUGUUCCAGACAAUCUUUCACCAUGCUUGGCCAGUAGUAACCCAUUAUUUUGAGCUGAAAAUGUAGCUUUGGUCUAGACUGAUGCACCCCGCAUACGCCUGAGUGUGCUUCUUCCAUGGCUUGAUUGGCUUCUUCCUCACCUAGGCAUCUCAGAAGUACUCAUUCAAAAGAGCAUCGGUGGAGUGUUCCUUUGUAGUAAAGAAAGCAAGGUGUUUGUCGAUGUAUUUCGGAGUGAUGUCUAGGAUCAUUUGGAAGCUUUCCAUGCUCCAGGUAGUAGAUUAGCGGUUGUCUCGACUCUUCAGCAUCGACUGGAAGUAUUGAGAUGACAUUUGUAUCAUCCAGUAGCAUUUCAGUGACGAACGGGAUCACCCAUCUUUGGCAAACUGGCACGUCUGCAGCUUCAUCUUCCCCCUAGUGUCAUAUUUGAGGCUAGGUUGGCGAGAGCGUCUGCCAUUUGUUUUUCUUUUCUUGGCAUAUGUUCCAGUGUCACAGUCUUGAACUUUUGUAGCAGUUGAGUUGCCAGCCGGAAGUAUGGGACGAGAUCGUCUUUCCUCACCUCAUAUUCAGUUAAGAGUUGAUUGAUUAUAAGCUUGGAGUCACCAAAUACCUCAAGGGCUGUGAUUCCCAUGUUGAUCGCCAUUUGGAGUCUGAUGAUCAGUGCUUGGUACUCAGCGACGUUGUUGGAGCAUAGUUCGCUUAGUUGGAAGGAAUAAAGUAGUAUUUGCCUUUGUGGCGACAUGAAUACUACUCAUGCCCCUGCUCCGUUUGCUCAUGCAGAUCCGUCGAAGAACAUCGUCCAUGUCGGGAAGAUGUCAAUGUAGAACACCUCCUCAUCAAGCAAGUCAUCUGAGAUUUUCCAAUCAGCUAGGAUUGGAUGAUCGGCAAGGAAGUCUGCUAGUGCUUGUCCCUUGACGGCUUUAGUUGGUACGUAGAUGAUCUCUUAUUGAUUAAGAAGCAACGCCCAUUUAGCUAGUCGCCCUGUUAAGACUGGUUUGGACAUGACGUAUUUGACCGGAUCAGCUUUAGUAACUAGGUGGAUGGUGUAAGCAUGCAUGUAAUGCCUGAGCUUCUGAAUAGCAAACAUCAAGGCGAGGCACAUCUUUUCUAUUGGGGAGUAGUUCAACUCAGCGCCGGUGAAAGUUCGGCUAAGGUAGUAGAGUGCUCAUUCUUUCUGGGAUUCAUUCUCUUGUGCCAAGAGUGCUCUAACUGAACUUUCCUGAGCGGCGAUGUACAAUAUGAGCAGUUUCCCGGGCACAUACGCCCCCAUGACAGGUGGACUUGAUAAAUAUUUUUUUAUUCUUUCAAAAGCAUUGUGGCAUGCUUCGUCCCAUACGAACGGAACAUCCUUCUUCAUGAGUCGACUGAACGGUUGAUAACGCCCUGCAAGGUUGGAGAUGAAAUGUUUGAUGAAGGCUAGUCGUCCUUGUAGAUUUUUCAGCUCGUGCAGGUUUCUUGGUUCAGGCAUGCUUUGAAUGGCCUUGAUUUUUUAUUGGUCCACUUCAAUGCCACAGUGCUUGACAAUGAAGCCGAGGAACUUUUUAGAGGUGAUGCCAAAUGCGCACUUUAACAGGUUCAUCUUAAGGGUGUAUUUUCGCAACCUUUCAAACACUAUUCAUAAAUCCUUCAGGUGAUCUGAUCUUUUCUUUGUCUUGACAACCGCAUCAUCUACGUAACAUUCUACAUUUUUGUGUAGCAUGUCAUUGAAGAUUUUCUGCAUUGCGCGUUGAUAUGUGGCUCCAGCGUUUUUCAGACCAAAGGGCAUCACCUUGUAGCAGUAGAUACCUUUUGGAGUGCGGAAGGCUGUUAGUUCCUCAUCUUCGAGAGCCAUGUGAAUUUGAUUGUAUCCAGAAGAGCCGUCCAUGAAUGACAGUGCUUCAUAGCCAGUGGUUGCAUCUACCAUGAUUUUGAUGAUUGGCAAGGGGAAGUCGUCAUUCGGGCAAGCAUCGUUGAGGUCCCGGAAGUCUAUGCAAACACGUAUUUGUCCAGAUUUCUUAAGGACGAUGAUGAUGUUGGAGAUCCACCUGGGGUAUUGCACCUCUCGAAUGAAGCCUGCUUCAAUUAGCUUGUCAAUCUCAGCCUCAAUUUGUAGGAUGAGCUCCGAUCGAUAUCGCCUUUGAGUUUGCUUUAUCGGUCAUGUUCCAGGCUUGACUGCAAGAUGAUGCACAACGAUGACAGGGUCAAGGCCGGGCAUUUCCUUGUAGGUCCAAGCAAAGACGUCUUUGUACUCUAGUAGCAAUUGGUAAUACUCUUCUGUCUCAUCCGCACUUAGCAGCGCACUUACAAAGAUAGGCUUCAACUCUUUUUUUGUGCCUAAGUUAAGCUCUUUGAGAUCAUCAAUCGUGGCUUGCCCCCCAUCCUCAAGUUGUGGUGGUGCGGCAGUGAAGUCUUCCUCGGGGAUUUCUUCUUCUUUGCCUUCUUGGAUCGUGAUGUGGAAGACGUCUUGGACUUCCUCUUCAGUUCCGUCCUUUCGGGCUUGUUGACGUGAAGAUUGGCCGGUGUGAAUGAUGGUGCGCCUUCUCACUUUCAGUGAUCCAAUUGUGUCAACCUACAAGAUUGCUUGGCGUUUCAUCCUUGAAGGAAUAGAGCUUCGAACAUCAUCUUUUCUUGCCAAACUGUCGAGCUUUUCUUCCUUUGGCGUCAUUUCCCUCUUUCUAGAAGGCUUCUUGUUGUCUUCAAGUCUUUCCAAAGCUAACCAUCGCGGAGGAGAGCUAGCCAUGUUGCUGCGUUGCUUGGGUUUUAAUAACCUUUCAAAAACAGAGCUUUGGGAUGUUGGUGUGUUAAGCCUCUUGAAAACGGAGGUUUGGUCUUGACCACCAAUGCAAUCAAGUGCCGAAAUUCUAGGCCUUGAACGAUUCAUCCUAUCGAAGACUGACAUCAGAGGAGCGGACUUAGGCUCCUCUUGAUUUUGUUCAACGCUCAUGCUGAUGUGUUAAGUGCUAGCAUUUUUCGCUUUGCUUGAAAUCUUCACGGGUGCAUUUAGUGUGAAGUCAAGCCCAGCUUUGUUGUUGUCAACUUCGUAACCAUGCUCCUUCAACUUCUUUUGAGUCUUGGUGAGGUUAUAUUCUUUGUCGUUGAAGGUGUUUGAAACCCUCUUUCCAGGAUUCGAAAAGGAAGCGAAGUCGUACUGAGUUUUCGACAUGAGCUUGUAGGCGUUUGGAUCAAAACCUUCUUCGGUCCUCUUGGUUGGAAGAAAGCUUGGUUCCACCCCAUUUGGCAGAGCUUUUAUGAAGCCUUGUGGUAGUCUUGCAACCUUAGCAUCGCGUAGCUGUGUCAGAGGCAAAACUGCAUCCGUCUUGAGCAACUUUAAAUUAUCCUUGUGUCGUUGUGCAUCGAAUUUGCUUGCUCCAGUUUCGAACGGGGAUUGACCAUUCUUUCUUCUCGACAUCGAGAUGUAUCGGAAAACAUAACUUCUCCUUCUUACUUCUUGGGCAUGGCUUGCCACUCCUGCUUUUUAGGUGUUGCUUUGCCAGUGGAUUUUAUCUCUUUUGAAAGAGCUUCAGGCACCAUGUCUUCAUCCAUGUAUAACUUGGCAUCUCCAAAAUAUGAUUCGGCUUCGGUGAAUGGCUUGGUGUCGUCUUGGAUCACCUUCACUCCUUCUCGGUAAAAUUUUAAGCAUUGGUGAAGGGUGGACAAUACUACUCCCUUCACGUGGAUCCAAGGCCUUUCUAAGAGCAAGCUAUAAGAAGUUCUUGCAUCAAUAACGUGGAAUAUCGUGCUUGACUUAAGUUCGCCAAUGGUCAUCUCCACUCGGAUCGUGCCCAUUGCUCUUUGACCUCCUUGAUUAAAACCUUGGAUUAGUAGACGGCUUAGGGAUAGUUCGUCCACCUUGAUGCCGAUUGUGGUCAUUGUUGACUUUGGCAUGAUGUUUAUGGUUGAUCCACCAUCCACAAGCAUGCGGUUGACUUUGUGCUCUCUUAUGUACCCCGAGACGAAGAAAUGACGGUUGUGAGGCUUUGAUCCCAGCAGUAAGUCUUCAUCUGUGAAGUUGAUUGCGUCUUAGGUGGCACAACAUGUGGCACAUUCAUGCGGCCGAAGCUUCAAGCCUUCGUUUAUCUUUUUUUCCUCGAUAGCGAUGGCUUUGCCUUUUAAAGGUUAUUCCAUUUCUACUUCGACCAUGUGACAUGCAGCGGCAGUGCACUGUUGGAAGAAGUCCUCCGGGAAGUACUUGUGCAAAGAGACGGGAAUACAUGGCUCUUGCUCCAUAGGUUCCCCAGCAUACGUUGGCUUAGCAGCUUUUCCGUUUCUUUUGGGCUUCCUACUAUUGCAACAACGGUGCUUUCUCCCUUGUUCCACCUUUGGCCUUGUGGCUUGUGGUUUUGGUUUCCUUGUCUUUUUGUAGGUCACCAAUGUCCAUUCUUUUUCGUCAUCAGUAUGUGCAUCUUGGUCGCUUUCCCCCAGUGAUGGUUGUGCAGAAGAUGUCAUGCAGCUUGAGCAUUUACGGGAAUGGUCAGGUGUCACUUGGAGAGGCACGGGAUCAAAGGAUCCAAACGUAAUUGUAGUAGUAUGUGUUGCGGCCGUGUCUUUAAGAUCGAGCUCGAUUUGCCCUUGUUGUGCUAACUUCAUGAUGAGUUCUUUGAGGAUGAAGCAUUUACCAAAAAAAUGGCUCACGAUACGAUAGUACUUGCAGUACUUAGGAUCGUUUACGGAAUUCAUCUCUUCAGGGCGCUUGCAUUCCGGUAACUUGAUCACCUUCUUUUCCAGUAAGUCAUCUAACAUUGCAUCCAUGUUUGAGUCAGGAAAAGGGUACGUCUUUUGCUCUAACUCCCUCAAGGUGUUUUUGUACUUGUAUUAGGUGCGAAGAGGCUCACCUCUCUUUAUCUCUUUUGCUUUGGUCUUGGAGGAGAUCUUGAUGGGCGCAGGGGAGGUCUUGAUAGGUGCGGUGUUGACAGUAAAAGCUUCCUUGGAGGGUUAUUUUCCAGUCCUAUCUACAUUUGGGAAUAACACUUUAUCCUUCUCGAAGUCGGUGAUCAGCUCAUUCUUCCCAUGAUUGGCGAUACUUAGCUCCAUGUCGUGAGAUCGAGUUGCCAGUUCCUCAAAUGUUCUCGGUUUUAUACCUUGGAGGAUGUAAUGUAACCCCCAGUGCAUGCCUUGAACACACAUCUCAAUGGCAGAUGUUUCAGAAAGCUGAUCUUUGCAAUCCAGACUUAAUGAACACCAUCUAUUGAUGUAGUCGAUGACAUGUUCAUCCUUCCACUGUUUCGUACUGGUCAACUCCAGCAUGCUUACGGUGCGACGAGUGCUGUAUAAGCAGUUAAGGAAUUCCCUUUCUAGCUAAUCCCAACUGUUGAUAGACUCAGGCUCGAGGUCGGUGUACCAGUCAAAGGCGUUGCCUUUCAGCGAGCGCACGAACUGCUUGACGAGGUAGUCUCCCUCCGUUCCAGCAUUGUUGCAAGUUUCAAUGAAAUGGGCAACAUGUUGCUUUGGGUUUCCCUUUCCAUCGAACUGCAUGAACUUUAAUGGCUGAUAACCCAUCGGCAUCUUCAAAGCGUCAAUUUUCUUGAAGUAGGGCUUUGAGUAUAGUACAGAGUCAUGUGAGCUUCCUUUGUACUGCGCAUUGAUGAUGCUGGUAAUCAUCUCUUGCAACUGCUGGAUAGAAAGAGAUCUCAUGAAUGCCGCUGCUUGGUCUGGCUCCGGCUUCACAUCGACUUUCUCCACCAGAGGCUCAUCUUCUUCGCCGGCUCCUCCCUUCUUUGGGGCAGGUUUCUCGUCAUCCUAUGCCUCCAGGCGAUUGACAAGUGCAGUGAUUUGCAAGUCUUUUUCUUCCACGGUCCGUGUUAGUCUUGCGAUCGCUUCAUUCAUUUGAGCCAACUGUUCAUCGAUUGAAGUAGCUCCAGUGGUCAUGACUUGGAUGGCUAAACUGCCGCUUGAGUCAGCAUUGGAAAACAUGGAAUCAGAGUACUUCCUUGGGCUUUCAUCCCUUAGCGCCCUUAGUGAGGCCAGGGUGAUCACAGGUUCGUGCCUCGGGUGCUCUUGUUCCUUUGGCAGAGUUGAUGCAGAGGUGGAAGAAGCGGUAGAAAAAGCUCUUGCCUUGCUUCGAGUUAUGAUGCCCGAAAUGACACCACUUGCGGCGAUGACGCUCUUGUUUUUCGUGUUGGUUGCGGGAACCAUUUGAAACUUCCUUGAUGCCAUUUGAUUUUCGAAUGUGUGCUUUGAUUUCCUUGAACGGAGAAAGAGAUGAGAGGUAGAGAUUGUCCCAAUGGGCGUGCCAAAUUUGUAAACACGGAAAUUCCUGAAACAAAUGAGACCAUGGAAGAACAGUUGGAUGUGUGGAUUUGUUGAUGUUGUUGAUCCAAAAUGCCGUUAGGACUUGAUCUUAUGCAAACACGAAAAUUCCUGAAACAAAUGAGACAAGAACAUGUGUACAAAAUAAUAUUUUUUAUUAAUGAUUUUGGGGUUACAAUCUCUCUCAAAUUUGAUCCUCUGAUUCGAUCUCCGUGAGGUGUUGAUUUGUGGAUGUGCAAUUAAUCCAAGGUUCGUCGAGGCUUGAUCUUGGAUGAACGGUUGGAAAUUUCUUCAAAGGGCUUUGGGCUUGAUCUUAAAGGUUGAUGGAUGAACAGAUCUUCAAGGCUUUUGGGCUUGAUCUUGAAGAACUGUUGAUGAACGGAUCUUCAAGGGUUUUUUGGCUUGAUCUUGAAUGAACGGUUGAUGAAUGGAUCUUCAAGGGCUUUUGGGCUUGAUCUUGAAGAACGGUUGGAUGUGUGGAUUUGUUGAUGUUGUUGAUCCAAAGUGAUCUUAGGAUGAACGGAUGAUGAACAAUGAACACUUUCCUCAAGGGCCGUCGGGGCUUGAUCUUGAAUUGGUGAAAGUUCUUCAAGGAUCGUCAGGGCUUGAUCUUGAAGGAGGAUUUGACGAAGAACGAAGAGAACUUUCUUGAUCUUUCGGGAUUUACUUGAGAGCUUUAGAGUUUCAAAGCUUCAAAGGUUUUGGUGUGAUGUGAAUUCAUUAUGAAUUAGUGUCCUAAAACGAAUAAAAUGACCUUGUAUUUAUAGAAUUUUUCAAGGCCUAAUUUGAAUAUAAUAUUCAGAUGAAGUAAAUCGUUUCUGCCAAGUGUUGACACAUGUCCUUAUUUGAUGACUUUUCUUAUUUAUUUUGAUUUUCCGUUUAGUCACACGCUACAUGUAAAAUUUAUGUGACCCAUGAACGUUGAAAUUGUAAUUGUUGGUCAACAUUUAUUUUACUGAAAUUUCGAUGUCUACAUAUACCAUAUAAGUAAAUUAGUGAAUCAACAAAUUCUAAAUGGGUACAUUAAUGAUAUAUAAAUGUACAACAUUUUGAAACUCAUUGAAGGUGCAAAACAAGGAGUAAAUCAUCGAUAUUGACAUGAUUGGAGAAUCCUUGCAAUUUUGUAAAAUGAUUGCAGUAAUGGGUCAACUAUUUCUCUCACUUGCAACUCAUUAAAUUUAUGGUUUUAUUUAGAGGUUAAGAAGUGUGCGGGUAUACUGAACUCCCGAAAAAUAAAAUUAACAAACUGGUGAGUUUAUGUUUAUGAAAUAAGAGUUACAAGUCUAUAAACAACCUUUAAACCAGAAGUUCCCCCGCCAUGGUUGUCGUACUGAACCGCGUGCAUGGUCUCAUUGGCCAUAGUCUCUCAGUUUUAAGUCCAACCAACGUUCCGAAGAGCCGCAGAAACUUGAAGCUGAGGAUUCUAUCAAAUACAGAGCUUAUGAUAGUACAGCACUAGACUCAUUAGCCCAUGUCUAUAGUGGAACAAAUAAUACGCGUGAUUCAUAAUGAUGUGGACUGAUUGACCCUUGUCUGUCUAUUGUGGAACAAACUGAUACGCGUGAUUCAUAAUGAUGUAGACACUACACUGAGUAUAUGGUCCCCAUGUUAAAUGUAGAGUACGUAAUGUGGUCCAUAUGUUAAAUAGACGAUACAAUAAGUCCCCAUGUUAAAUGUACAGUACGUAUGUGGUCUAUAUGUUAAUUAUACAAUAAGUGUAUGCAGUGGUGAAGCUAGAAUUUGCCGAGAAGAGAGGUGAAAUUCAAAAGAGUGCAAGAUUCAAUCGAAGUGGUUGUUUUUAUAUUUGAGAGUGCAAAGUUUUGAGUCAAUAUUCAUAGCAGAAAAUAGUCUCCACCAAAACGAUUGUAAGCGGUAAUAUCAAAGCCAAUAUAAUAAACUUAUAUUAGCUAGGUUUAUAUUCUUAAAAAAGACGCUAGUCAAGUAGUAGACUGGAACCUAGUAGCUAGGCGUCUAAGAGAGAUCUAGGCAGGAGCCUAGUGGGAUUUAAAUGAAUUUCUUUUAUCGUAAAAUAAGCAUUAAACAAUAUUUACAUUACUUUUUAAAAAGUAAUACAACAUUUAUAUAUAAUGUGAGAGUUUAAGAUAAAUCCAGUAGGGGUCUUAAAAGAAAUGAAAAAAUAAAAUAAACAAUACUUGAGUACCCACAAUUUAGUACCAACUAGCAAGACUGCCCGCGCGAUGCUGCGGUGCUACGCCUUGCUCCUGUACAACCUUAUCUACAAAAGGAACAAUGAGCAGCAUUGAAUUUAAUUCCAUCAUCAAUGCCUUGAACUUGUAGGAUCAAAAUUAAUAUAUAUAUUAACAUAGACCCUAAAAUUUCUAUCAUGGAGAAAAAUAUUAACAUUGGGAAAAGGCAAAGAGAGGAAUUCUCAAAAGAAAACUGAGAGUAUGGAUCAUAUUGAAUGGAAAUCACAAACAGCAACCAAAUCAAAAAUGAAGAAUAACAAUUGAAAAGGAAAAUAAUAAUCGAACCAUAACUGAAAAAGCUAUCUGGUUUUGAAUAUUACAAUUAUGAAGCAACUCUUAUAGGAUGAGUGAGUAGAAUUUACAACGUAGUUAGGAGUUGCAAUGCAGUUAGGAGUGUUCCAUCUCGCUAUCAAUUUGCUAAACCAAGAUCAUCUAUACCAAAUGACAACUUUUUACAAUGCAAUGAUGAGAACCACGAAGACCAAUGUUUGGAAUUCACUGAAAAUAUUCCGUUGAAAAGAUUGUAACUUGUGAAGUGCAUAACGAAAAGGAAAAGACAGAGGCUGGUCUCAACAUGUAGAGAGUUGAAAGGAAUUGUGAACUUAAUGAAUUACAAAAUGUAAAAAAAUUGCAUUGCUGAAAAAGAAAUUAAUCCGCAGGAGAAAUUGAGUUAAAAUUUUGGUUGCAUAUUGAAGAGUCAGUUUUGGAACAGAUGAGAAGGAGUGGGAUGUAAUCAAUGGAAACCUCAGUCACUAAGUGUAAGAAAAAUGAAGACAAAGAAUUGCAAAGGAAAAGAACUUCGAAUCCACAUGGAAACGGAAAUUAAUAAGUGGAAAAGCAAUUAAAAGUCGAGGUUAAUCAAUUCCGUACCUUGACAGCAGCGAUCACACGUACUUCUUUCGUAUCAAUCUCAACUUCACUGUAGGAAACCAAAACAGAUUCGGUCUGUAAACAUUUUGGAGGAAAGAUUGGAUAUAGAGAGAUGAAAAUACUGUUCACAAUGAAUAAAAAUUAGUGUAAAUUUGUUUGCAUAUAGUAACUCAAUGAAAGCGAUGGAGGACAUAUUGGGGAUUUGAUAAUGACAUGUUGAGAAAGUUAAUAGCAUUGAUGAAUACAAAAUUUAAACCGUUACUGGUUGAGGCUGAAACAUAAAGGACUAAAGCAAAUUUUGAUCCUAAAUUUGAAUUUUAAAGUUGAAAAAAAAUGAUGGAGAUAUGUUGGAUAUGAUUAUAGACCAGAACGAAGCUACUUUUAUGGUUAUUUACUGUCCAAUAUGAUACUUAUGGUAUAGUUAAAGGUUCUAUAUGUUUCAGUAGUAAUUAACUCUGAUCCUUAUGCAUUCACUUGAGAAAAAUUAGCAUUUAAUGUCUCCAAAGGGAUCCCAAGUACUUAAGACAAAGUUGUUAAAAAAAGUUAAUGAGAAUGCAGAUUGGAAGCCAAAAGUAAAAAUCAAAUGAUUACAGAAUGGAAAUAAAAAUGUUGGAGUUAACAGUAAACAAUUUAAAGAUUAAACCGGUUGAGUAUACAUUGGGUAAUCAAACAUAUGGAAUAAAAGAUUAGAAAGUGAGGAUUAUGGGUUGGAUAAAAGUCAAAUAGAAAUGGAUGAAAAGCCAAAAAAUAGGAAGAAGAAGGCAGGGAGUAAGAAAACUAACAGAAUAUGGAUAUUGCACAAUGGUUAAUAUAUUAAAAACUAAAUGUUUCAAUAGAUUAUAUACCUUGAACAAAAGACGAAAUUGAAGCAUUGGCAGUUCCUAAAAGCGAAGAAGAAUGAGAUGAGACAGUGACAUCUAGCAUCUGAUUGUGGAGACAAAAUCUGCAGUCAUAAAAAGAAAAUUUAAACAUAAACUUUACCUAUAUAUCAAACACUCAAAUAAGAAAAAGAAUAAAUAAAGAAAUGGGCCAUAUGGAGAAAAAAGGUUUACCAGAACUUGGUUGUAUGCCAAUUGAAAAACAUUGUAGGUCUCAACUCAAAGUAUACUGACCACCAUGUCCAGAAGAUGUAAAAAUAACAUCACAAAAUGUAAACACCAUUGAAAACACACAGGUUGCAAUAGGCUUACAAAUGAAAUCUUUAAUUUGUACGAUAUAGAUAAAAAAAGGUUACCAGUUGGUUGUUUACAUACACAAAAAAUAUUCCAGGCAUAUGCUGGAUCUUAGUACCUGGAACUGCUUUUCAACCACAGCCAGCAUUGGGAUACAAAACACUGGCAAAUGCUGGUUUAUGUACAGGCAAAAAAUGUUUUGAAGUUCAGAUCAGAAACAUAUUUACAUGACAGGGAAAUAGCAUAAAUAUUGUUUUAUACAUGUUAACAAAAAACCAUCAUGAUUUUUUAUCAAUGGAGGUCAACUUAUGUUGCUGCAUUGUUCCCUUUCAAGAAACCAACCUAGGGAAAAAAAAAAGAAAUUAAGAGAGUUAGACGGCUGUUAAAUCCAAGUUGUAAAAAAAAUUUAGCAAAAAAAAAAAAAGCAAAGGUAAAAUAUAACAACCUAGCUUUUUUUUGGAGGGGUAGCAUCUAAUUUUCCAGCAGUUGAGGAUGGGUUCUUUUUUAGCAAUUUGAUCAGGACUUCAUCCAACUCUCUUGGAUCCGUGUCUGAAAUUUCCUCUACUCCACUGUUUUAAAUGAGGUAUCAAUGUUAAACAACAUGACUACACACAAAUUUGAAAUUUAUAGUUACAAAGGUAUGGGACAAACCUUUGUUCACCGCCAGUGAAAAGAGCUUGCCUGAUUGAUUCCCUUUUUCGUUUAAACGACUGCUCAUUGGGUUAAACUGUUGAGGUCGAAGAUGAAGCAAUGGUGGAAGACACUAUGAUUUCUCUUGACAAAGGUUGUGGAGUUGCUGGCUGCAUAACUGUGUCUUCAGUCACGUUAUGAAUGAGGAUAUCAUUUGAAUAAAAAGUAUUCCUCCUGUUGCCAAAUCGCAAGUGAAAAAUUUUCUUCUAUCCAAUAAGCCUGAGAAAUUCGUUUGGCAACUGUUGUUGCUCUACCAGUCUUUGAUUUAAUACCAGGUCUUUGCAAGGCAUGCCAAAAAGCUUUUCACCACAUUUACCGAUUAUCAAAGCAUUCAUUUCAUUUGUUUCAUCUUCAAGAAUGAGAUUGACUUUGUACCUACAUUUAGAAACUCAAACCAAUGAGAUUUUUGAGAAUCAGAGGUUUUCACAAACAUAAGAGGUAAAAAAGCUGAAACAAAAUAGAUUGCAAAUGUGGAGUAAUAUUAUAUAAUCAUAUGGUGAUCAUGUGUGACCAAAUAUGAGAAAACAUAAAAAAGAAAAGGAAACAAAGAUAAAUUAUUUGUCAGAAUAGAAAAAAAAUAAUAACAUUUAGGUUUAUACAACUGAAGUUGAACAAAAACAUAAAGUAAAGAGUGAACAAUGGUAACAAAUUUUUUUUUAAGGAACACCAUGUUUGGCAACCAUUGUGUAUAUCUAUUAUAAAAAUGCUUUCAUAAUCUGGAAUUUAAAAAAAAAAUAAGUGUGAUGACAUAAAUAAUUAUACCAAAAUUGUAAAUUUUGCACACAAUGUGAAUAACCCUAUCUAUAUUUAUUUUUCUCAAUUGGUUAAUGAGAACAAACAACAGGGUAUCAAGAAAGAGUAAACUUUUUGUUAGCCUUGCUUCAAAUAUUUGAUUUAACAUUACCACAGCGUUGGUAUUUGGUUUGGAUGUUUUUGACAAAUGAGCUGCCCAAUGGUUGGAUCCUUGUGCACCUGUUUCAAGCAGUUCGGGCAAGCACUGUACCACUAGUUGAACCGCAUGUCAAAACGCUUGACAGAUGCUCUACACACAAAUGUAUCAUCCUGUGAUAUAUUUUGUCACAUAGCCGUAACAGCAAGAACAACAGAACUCAGUUUCAUUAAAAAGGUUAAAAUGCAAUGGUAAGAUUUUAAGAAUACACAAAAAAUAAACGUUAUGUUUUAUACCUUAUGCAAAUCUGGAUCCAAAAAAGCCAAUUCAUCAAUUGUAGCUUUUUUAGCAGUCUGCAAAAUUUGAGCUUCGUUUCGUUGGAUUGCAGAGGGAGAAAGUAUGUCCAGAGCUUCUUUACAAUCACAAAACCUGCAGGAUUCAAAACACUUUAUCAGUUUAACAAUUAUAAAAAAAAAAAUGAUAACAAUUGUUUUCCAAUUAAAAAAAGUGUUAUUUUGUUUUAAAAACGAAAAAUUUACUCACACUGACUUAUACGUAUUCACUUCGGGGAUGUCUAGGUCAAUAAAAAACACAGACGAACCAGUACUACUCAAAUAAAUUUUUUUUGUGCGUUGCAACCACACCACAGAGAAAAAGAUUAAUGAACAAUAUUAAUGACAUUAACAAAGUUAAAAAAACAAAAGGGAAUACAAAAGAGACGAAACAAACAGAAAUAAAGUAAGAAAACGACUAAUAACAGUGACCAACCAGUGAUAGAUUGAGACAUUUGUAAAUUAACUGGCCAAGAAGGAAAGAAACAUAUAAUCAGAAAUUGGACGAAAGAAAGAUAACAAAAGUUUAGGACAACAAAACAUCCAAAUAAUGUAAAGAAACAACAUGUGUACACAUCACAAUAAACAGACUAAAAGUAAGUAUUUAACAAAAUGGAAUACCGAGGUAGAUCUUGACUUUCAGACUUGUGAAAACAACAAUGACUGACAAAGAAAAUUCCUCUGCUGACAAAGAAGAAAAAGCUUCAGCAACGUCUGCCCACAACAUAACCAUUAGUUCCUCUUUUCUGUCGAUAAAGAAACGACAAAUAAAUUUUUGACCUUUUUAUACCACCAAAGCAACAAAUAUUGAAAACAGUAUGUAAGAAUAGGGAUAAGAAGUGAAAAAUAACCUAAUAUUUUGGAUAACCACAUCACACUUGUACAUAACCCUUUGAUUAAUUUGUUUAGGUUCCAGCCGCUGCACAACGCUUAUAUGACCAAUGACAUCUUACCAUUUGAAAAAACAAACAGAUGCACAUUAUUAAAAUCCAUUUUAGGAAGUAAACACACACUUUAAGACACGCACAUGCACAUAGACAUUAAUAGUACCUGUGAGGAUGUCAACUCUGUUUAAGCGAGGGUAGAGUGUGUUAUAGUCUUGUAGGAAAAAUCGAUGGCGAGGGAUGGGCGGAAACACACUUGCUAAUUUUCGGAAAGCUGUUUUCGAGGUGAACAAAACCUGAGUUUCAUGCAGCACCACCUUGUAUUGUGCCCUAAUUCUAAUAGUUUGAAAUUCGGUGAUUUCAUAGCAUGCACCAUCUUCAAUUUUUUAAGCCAUGACAUCAUAAUCAACAUCCAAUGUAGAGGCCUCAACCGCAUGUUGCUUCACAUCGUAUUAAAAAAGAGGAAAAAAAGCCAAAAAAUCAAUUAACAAAUAAAUGAAAACACAAAUCAUACACUCGACAACACAAACAACAUGACAUGAAUCAAAUUGUUACCAUGAGCAAAUAGAACGAAUGAACGCAGUUAAAUUAUUUCAAACAAAAUGUAAAAAAAAAAAAUCCAUCAACACAUAAAAGUUUACAACAGAACAUACCGCAUGGCAAAUAUAAGGAAAGAAAGCCAAAAAUUGAGGGAACAAACAGAGGGAAAACACAGGUGAUGCACACAUUUCGCUGAUGACAACAUAUCGAACUCUAACCUUCUAACAUGUAAAAAAGCAUGGCAACAUAAACAUUAUCCAGUGAGUUAAUAUAAACAUUAUCCAGUGAGUUAAUACUCAUUGACUCCAACUUUGGGUAAAAUAAUUAGACAAUUAUUUCUCACCGCUUCAUCAACCAAUAUGCAGUGCAGGUUUGUAGACUUUUGAACGGUUCCUGGAAUCGUCAAUUUCCAAAUCCUGCAUAUGCGAAUUUUGAUUUUGUCCGCCUUUAUGUAUGGUAUUAACUGAUUAACAGGAGUUGGGCGCACAGUUUCCAUUUAUCCUAUCAAAAGGGAAUUUCAAUGACACAUCAGAAACUCCCACAAAACUACAAAAAGAAAAAAAGACAAAAACUAUAAACGAUCCACAAUUCAUUCACCCAUGGUCUGAAAGGAAGACAUGGAGAGUUUAACAACCAUUUGUACUUUCGCUAUCUUUUCCACCCUGUCUUGCAUGCCUAUACAACAAUUGCACAAAUUUUAUAUUGUCCAAUAAAACUAAGGACGCAAAACAGAGACCCAGACUGCAAAUCCCGUGAAUGACACCUCCAAAGAACAAAUAAUAUUGACGAAAAGAACGGGAUACCCAAGUUUUAACACCAAGAAACAAACACCUCAGCCACCACCACUAAUAGCAACAACUACAACAAAGAAAUCACAAAGUUAAUGACCACACGAAAAAGAAAUGACAACAACAAAAUAGCCGACACUAAGACCGCACAAAAACUCAAGUACAGAAACACCAAGCCUAACACAUUCAUGAACCACCACGAAUCCAGUCACAUAACACAAAACAAACCUCCAUCUAAAAAAAGAUACAAAUUUAUGUCAUCCUCUGCAAAUCAAGGCUGAACCCAAAGGCUUCAAAGAAACAAAUCCCACGAUGAAAGAUUUAGUGUCACACUAAAACAACCACAUCCCCAAACCAACUACCUCAUAAUAUAAUUUUUUGCUUUCGUUCUCCACCAACGAAAUGAAAAAUCAUUCUAUCCUCUUUCAUUUCACCAUGAAUCACAUGUACAAAUCCAACCUCUUUCAUUUGACCACAAAUCUAUAUAAUGGCAAUCCUCAGCUUUCGUGUUUUGGAUUGAAGAAAAAAUGGUAAACAUGGAAAAAGUUACAGCACUAAUGUUGCACACAUCUCCUGAACAUCUAAGAAAUGGCAAUCGGCUAUUUUCGCUAAUCGUAGAAUAAGUAUACCAUUUUUUAUACACCUUACUGAAGGAUAAACUGAAUUCUGACUGAGUCAAUGAGUAAGAUUAUACGAAUAAAGAGUUACAUUCUAUAAUGUACUAAAUAUUCCUACUAUACCUUCAUCCUGCGAGAUUAAGAAUACUUGAGAACGAUGAGUUGAAAUCAAUACGCCAAUUAUUGCUUUACACCAAGACUAAAGUGUGAAUGCAAUUUUGUACUUCGCAAAAUGAACUCUAUCCACUGCAAAUCCAUAACUAAGACUAAAUUGUCAGUGCAAUUAAUAGUGUGACUAAUCAUCAAUCAAUGGCAUCACCCUCAUACGAAGAAAGGGAGACUCUAAAAAACAACACACCCAUAACAAUUUGCUUAAAUAACUAACGGAUCAAAACAAUGAGAUGGCCAAAAGGAAAACCCACCAAACAGCAAAACGCAAACUCUCUACCUCCACCACUCAUGCCUAACCACACUUCUUAUACCCCCUCUCUCUUUUCCCAACCUCUGCUUCAGCAAAUCACAUAACCAGACAUCUUUCUACACAGGCGUCGACUGCUGCAGCAUUCUAAAACCCUAAAAUCUAUUUGAACGCAUGAUUCAAAAGGACAACAUCACCAAAAUUAAACGAUAAACCCAAAAAACGAACGAAGCCCAUACAUAUUUAAACGCAACAGAAGAAAACUCAUUUUCCAAACUAACAUAAAAAUAUGAAAACGAACAUAAAAAUCUAAAAAAAAAUCACGCACCGCAGGGUUCUCCGACGUAGCAAAGAGGCACAGAGCAGAGGAGAGGACGAUCGAGAAGAAGCAAACACAAACGCGCGCGAAACCAAAGCAAACAGGCAAGAAGAAAGCAAAAGAGAAGGCGGGAGCGAAAGACAGCGACGCAACAAAAAAAAUAAGAAACGGGAAACAAAAACGAAACAAAAUAGAGCAAAAAGAGCAUAACAGGAUGAUCAACACGUGGCAGAUCCAAUCCCCACCUUCUCCCUGCAUCAAUCCCUCGAAAACAAUGAGAACCCAUUAUAAACCCAAAGGGCAAUUCGGGCAGUCAAAAAACACCCACCAACCAUGGACGAUGAUCAACACGUAGCAGAUGCAAUUCCCACUUUCUCCCUGCACCAACCCUCGAAGAGAACCCAUUAAAACCCCGAAGGGCAAUUCGGCCAGUCGAAAAACACCCACCAAUCAUGGGCAAAGCCGACAUUUCAAUGGAGAAAAGAGGGAGAACAACGUCAAAACACAAACCAAGCAAGGGGCAUUUCCGUCCCGGCACUAUUAAUGAACAGUGCCAUCCGAAACCCAGUUUUAGUAUAUAUACUUUUACUCACUAGAGUUUGUGGCCCAAUAAAAUUACGACAGCUGUCAUUCUCAACUCUCUAACCAAAUAACAACAAAUCUAUUAUUCUAGCAGCCAAACACUUUAGGGGUGAGUUUACAAAUCCAUAAUCAGAUUGAAGGAAAUUGAAUUGAGGAGAAAUCAAAUUAAGGAGGAAUUGGAUUGAGAAUGAAACAAAAUUAGAUUCUGGUCAAAGUUGUUUACUAAACUAAUUGUAAUCGGAAUACAAAUGAUAUUAGUUCCAUAUAUAUUGUUUACUAGUUCACUAAAAUCGGAAUUAAAACUAACUUGAUUACUAAAUUGUCCUUGUUUAAAUAAAUUAUGUUUAUGCUAUAAUUAUUGAAAAUUAAGUUUAUCUAAUUAAAUAUAGGCUUAUUAUGUUAACACCCCACAUUUUGUUGAAUAAACUUCACAUACUUAAUGCUCCUCACAUUUGUUUUUUUAAUUAAAACUUAUCUUAAUAAACCCCACAUACUUCCCAUAACACCCUCACACCCCACAUUCUCAACAUACACCUUACAUUUUCUACAUACACCUCCACAUUCUUCAAAUCUUAUAAUUAUCAUUCUUGCUUCUAUGGUUUUCAUUAUUCUCCAUGGAAAUCUUGAUCUUUCGUUUCCUUCUUUUGGUGUUUGUCCAACAGACAGUUCUGCUACUUCGACUUUCUCUUUGCUUCCAUUUAACAUGUUGAACUACCUCCUUUCGAUGACUCUUGUUAACGUAGGGGACUGUGCUGGCAUCUUGGUUGGGAGUGAUGGUAUUCACUCGCAAAGUGGAAAAAAAUGAAAUAAAACAGGCUUCGGGGGUUUGGACGCCUCAACGAAGGUUAAUGGCUUUACCUGUUCAAAUACUGGCUAAUCAGCAUUGAGAGUAUUACAGUAUGAGGACAGAAAAAAAACAUGGAUUGAGAUAAUUAGGAAAUAUAUAACAACAUGUGAUUCAAAAUAAAAAUAUGUCCCAGCGUUGUAAAUGGAUCGAGAAGCAUGAUUAGUUGGGACAAGGUCCUAUUAUCAUUUAGGUUUAUAUUAGACUUGCCAUGGGGAAAAUGAAUCAAUGUUACCCUUCAUUUCCAAAACUGUGAUGCUUUUGACAGCAUAUGCAAGCAUACCAAAACAUGUUUAUCAAUCACUGGUUACCUUUUAUUUUAAACUAAUACUAGAAGAAUCCUUGAUAGAUUAGAGACUAAUGUAUAUACUUGUAUUGAGAACAAAAUAAUAGUAAAUUGAAAAAUAAAAUUAAAAGAAUACAUAAAUUACAAGUAUUCAACAAGUUUAGAGUUUAAAAACACAUUAAUAUAAACAUAUAUUAUUUUGGGCCCAAAAAACAUGGCAUAUUAUAAUCAUAAAAGGCCUAGCCCCACCAAAAUAUUUACUUUUGCAUUCAUUUCACCUCUUACCUUCGUCAGUCGUUUAUGCAAAAUCCGAAGAACCAUAAAUGGUCAAAUGCAUCAAGAACCCAAAGAAAGCCAAAAGAAAGGCCAAGGUUGGCUCCAAAUUCCACUACCUUCUUCGUUGUUUGUUUAAUUAUUUUAAUAAAGUUAGGGUUGUGUCUUAAAUUUUUGUUUAAGGCUCAAAGAAAAUAGGUGGAUCUCCUUCCUCUUCGAGACCAUCGAUGCUGAUGAAGGUAUGGCAACCGCCUAGUGGGCCGCCUAGCACCGCCUAGACCGCCUAGCGGCUGCCUAGGCGCCCGCCUAAGCCAUCACCGAAUUUCUCUAACAUUUCGCUCCAAAUCGCCUCGAAAGCCCAACGCCUAGUGCGUAGGCAGCCGCUUAGGCCGCGUUUUUGAACACUGGUUAGAAUGCAACUUAAUUAAAAUAGAUCAAAGUAUGGCUUUGGUAGGUGAGAAGCCACCAACAUCCAUAUUUAAUAUAGGGACCAUACUUAUUGUAGGGCCUACAUCAUAUAACCACCACAGGGUGGCUCAGUGGUUGGGUACGAAUUCCAGGCUCGUAUUCUGCACGGUACGUCUUGAGUUCGAUUUCUAGCGCUGGUGAAUCAUACGAUGGUGGUAAAAGGGAGACUAAAAUUCCUCUAUGAGUUUUCCUGGCUCCCAAAAAGGUGGACUACCAUGACGAAGCCAACUAGUCCCUUUGUCGAUCUUGUAUUUCCACAAACUAAUUCAUGUUAUUUGUAUUUUUUUUAUCUUGUAUUUCCACAAACUAAUACACUACUACGAAACCAUUUACUAGUGUCGCUAUGAUAACCGACAAGAAACGUAUAUUACUGUCAUAUAUUAAGCAAAAUCCGACAAAAAAUGGAUGCAGUGGCGGUUAUAAUAAGUGACAAAAUUGCUAGGGUUAGGAAAUGAAUUUUCUAACAGAAAAUACUCUAAAACAGACAGAAAUUGUGUCGAAUAUAACCGACAGAGAAUACAUUAAUACUGAAUAAAUAAGAGCAUUCUCUGUCGGAUAAAACCGAUAGAAAAUAUAUUAAUAAAAAGAAAUAUAAACCACUUUCUGAAUCAUUUCUUUCCCUUUCAAGUUGGCCUUCCCUGCAUUCACUGCAUUUUCCAGCUUUGAGAUGUGCAACGUUCCUCUAAGGUACACCAUAUUCUUCAAUUCUUCAAGUUUGUUUCCUAUUUCGCAGCUAACCUAAAUAUAUAUAUAGACAGAAGUUUGACCCCCAACAACAAGAAAAGGAUUAGAAAGACAGAUAAAUAUAUUUGAAAAAGAAAAGAAAAGACAAACCGAAAAUUUGGGCAAGUUAUGCAACCGCCUACACUACUCCCGGGGGUUACAGUUCAGGCGGUUCUCAUGUUCUCCGACACUCUCCUUUCUUCACCACCUUUAUCAUCAUCAACCUUGUCUCGUUGAUCAGCUCAUUGUCUUUUCUCGUCACAUUUCUCUCGAUCUUGACAUCUCAGUUUGAGUACAAAAACUUCCAUCAAUCUCUUCCGCUCAGGCUACAUUUAGGAUUUGCCUUUCUUUUCUUCUCGCUAGGGACGACCAUGCUCUCGUUCACUGCUACAGUUGUGCUCUUGAUUCAUCUCGAUGAGGAAUUGACAACGUCUCUCCUUUAUGUUGUUGCAUUUUUUCCUAUGUAUGUAUUUGGGUUCAUACAGCAACUUCCUUUGUAUGCUAGAUUUUCUCAUGCUUUGAUAUUUCUAUUUAAGAAAGUUAAGAAGUUUAUAAUUUCUAUUUAAAACACAAACUAAACAUAAUACAAAUAAUUUAAAACGUACUGGUUUCAAAAUGUUGCUUCUCGAAUUGUUCAUCCAUGGUGAUUGAAGCGAGAAGGAGAAGGGGAGAAGAGAAGGAGAAUGAAAUUAGGAGAGGAGAAAAGGGAGAAGGAAGGGGGAAGGGAGAAGGCACCGGUGCAAGGAAGAGAUGGAGGGGUUUUAUUUUGGAAAAUUUUCAUUACUGUCAGUUAUAACCGAUAGAAAAAAAUGGCGGCAAAAAUCCCCCCUAAAUUCCCUCCCAAAAUUUUAAAUUCCCCCCCAAAAUUUUGUUACGAUUUAAAAAAAUAAAAUAAAUUGAACGGAGAUAUGCAUUUUAUGAAACUAGUUUCCAUAAUCUAACCGUCAAACUUGUUUGUAGAUACUACUACAAGAUCGUAUACGUAAAAAAUCGCAAAAAAAAAAAAAAAAAAUCAGAGAUUAGGUAACAUAACAAAAGUUUUUUUACGGUUAUAAACGAAAAAUCUCAAUUUAACGGUUAUUUUAGCUUCGGUUUUGAUGAUUUUUUUACAGCUACACUCCUCGAUCCUAUAAGAAUGCAAUGAACGAAUUUGAUCUUCAAUUUAAAAUAUUUACACUAAUGGAUAUCACAAAAUCUUAUUUUAUACUUAAUGGAAGUAUAAUAUUAACUCUAAGUGUUUGUUUAAUCUACCGUUUUGACGCGAUAUGCAUUCUACGAAACUUUUUUCAACGAUCCAAUCGUCAAACUUAUUUGUACACACUUCGAGAUAGCAUACGUAAAAAAUCAUAAAAAAUAAACAUUCAAAGAUUAUGUAACGGAACAAAAGUUUUCGACGGUUCUAAACAAAAAAUCACAAUUUAACGGUUAUUUUAGUUCUGAUUUUAAUGAUUUUUUACAGCUACACUCCUCGACCCUAUAAGAAUGUAAUGAAUAAAUUUAAUCUUCAUUUUAAAAUAUUUAUACUAGUGGAUACCACAAAAUCUUAUUUUAUACUUAAUGGAAGUAUAACAUUAACUAUUUAAGUGUUUAUUUAAUCUACCAUUUUGACGUGAUACACAUUCUACAAAACUUUUUUCAAUGAUCUAACCAUCAAACUUGUUUGUACACACUCCGAGAUCGCAUACGUAAAAAAUCACUAAUAACAAACAUUCAGAUAUUAGAUAACAGAACAAAAGUUUUCGACAGUUAUAAACGAAAAAUCACAAUUUAACUGUUAUUUUAGCUCCAAUUUUGAUGAUUUUGACAGAUACACUCCUUGACCCUAUAAGAAUGUAUUGAACGAAUUCGAUCUUCAAUUUAAAAUAUUUACACUAGUGGAUACCACAAAUCUUAUUUUAAACUUGAUGGGGAAGUAUAACAUUAAUUCUAAGUGUUUGUUUAAUCUACCAUUUUGAUGCGAUACGCAUUCUACGAAACGUUUUUCAAUGAUCCAACCAUCAAAAUUGUUUGUACACAUUCCGAGAUCGCAUACGUAAAAAAUCGCAAAAAACAAAGAUUCAGAGAUUAGGUAAUGGAACAAAAGUUUUCGAUGGUUAUAAACGAAAAAUCACAAUUUAACGGUUAUUUUAGCUCCGAUUUUGAUGAUUUUUUACUGCUACACUCCUCGACCCCUAUAAGAAUGCAAUGAAUGAAUUUGAUCUUCAAUUUAAAAUAUUUACUCUAGUGGAUAAAUCUUAUUUUAUACCUAAUGGAAGUAUAACUUUAACUCUUAAGUGUUUGUUAAAUCUAUCAAUUUGAUAGGAUAUGCAUUCUACGAAACUAGUUUCAACAAUCCAACCGUCAAAUACGUUUGUAUAUACUUUUAGAUAGCAUGUGUAAAAAAUCGCAAAAAAAUAAAAUAUAAAAACAUUCAAAGAUUAGGUAAUGGGACCCUGAGUGAAAAAAAAAAAAAAAAACAUUCAGAGAUUAUUCUGGCAGCUGCCCAAAAUUUUGCUUUGUUCGUGUCGGUUAUAUCCGACAGGGCCAUGAGUGAAAAAAAAAUAUUUAAACCAUGUGUUUAUUUAUUUAUUUAUUAUUUUUAAUCAAUAUAAAAUUUUAAAAUAAUAAAAUAGUCAAUUUCUGUAGGUUAUAACAGUCAGAAUACUAAAAUAAUAACCGCUAGAAACUAAAAUAAUAAAAUAGUCAAUUUCUGUCGGUUAUAACCACCACCAUUAACUUAAAAACCGUCGGAAUAUGUUAAAAAUAUUUUAAAAAAAGAAUUCAAAAAUACUGGCAGUUAUAAUAAUUUUAUGGCUAUUGCAUCCGACACUAAAUAUCUGUCAGGAAUUUAUGUUGAAUAUAACCGACAGGAUUUCAUUGUUACCCGACACUAACUGAAUGAUGUGUCGAAUAUCUUUUAUCCGACAUAAUGACUUAUUAAACCACCACCAUCAUCCGACACCUAAAGCUAAUAUUGUAGUAGUGAUACACACGUUAUAUGUUGUCGGUAUUUUGUUGAUCUUGUAUUCUUGUUGAAAUUUCAUCUUCUAGAAAAUUAUGUUGGCCAGUCAUAUUUUUGUGACACUUAACCUAACUUUGUGAUAAAGUUGCAUAUUUCGAGAAACGAAAACUAUAAUGAACAACUAGCAUUUGCCUACACAUUUUGUGUAUAUGAACACGUUUUUUUUUAGAAAAUGAGAAUGAGAGAGAGAGAGAUAGAACGUGGAGGGAGUUGGAGGUUUUUUUUUGUUUUUUUUUAUUUUAAAUAUUGGAGGUAUUUUAACAUUACCUGUAGGUGAGGCUUCAAUAAAAAAAAAAAAAAUUUGAACCUGUGAAAUUACAUUAUUGCUCAUCAUUUUUUUUGUGUGAUAGAAGACUAAGUAGUCUUUUCAUCCUCUUUUGGUUGACAAAAAGGGUUUCAUUAAUUAAUAGAGAUAGGAAUGAAAAAAAUAACAGAAAAAAUAAAAAAUUUAAGGAAAAAUUAAUAUAUGAUUCCUAGUUUUUAAUGUUCAUAUAUUAACUGAGACUUUAUUAGUUUUUAGAUUUUGAUCAAAGUCUCUAGCAUUAAUGUAUUAAUAAAUUACAUGUCAGUUACAUAAUUUUUUUAAAUAAAAAUUAGUAAUUGAUUUAGGGUUUUAAAUAAAAAUUAAUUUUCAAUUCAAAAACUUUCCAAAACAUAAAAAAUAAAAUUAGAAUAAGUUUGUACCCAUUAAUGUUUUAUAAAAAAAAAAAUUCAAAUUUUCAAUCUUAUAUGUAACCAUUUAUAUAAUUCUUCUAUUUCUCUAAUCUUAAAUGUACUUAUUCUUAGAUAUACCAAUUUGUUAUCUAUAAAAUGUACCUUUUUAUAUAUAUAAAAUUCAUUCAAUCUUUUUUCUAAUUCAUUUUUUAAAUUUAUAUGGGUACAUUUUAUUUCGUUGAUUUGAUAAUGAAUUCAUGUCAAAUUUAAUAGAAGAAAUUUAAUAUGUACCCAUGUUUUGGUGCAAUAAUUUUUUUGUUAGUUUUGAUGAACAUACCCAUGUAUGUGUGUACACACACAGACACACACAGACACACACACACACACACACACACACACAAUAUAUAUUCUUUAAUAUUUUUUAUCCCAUAAAUUAUAGGUUUUAUUUAAAAUCUCAUUAAUAUAAAUAACUACAAAUUUCAUUUUUAAUUUAAAAAUAAAAUAACCUAUAUAGAAAUACAUUAUUACAUUAAUGUCAGGGAUUUCGAUAAAAAACUGAAAAUCACAAAAGUUUCAGUAAAAAAAUAUUGAUAAUUAGGGACCGCAUCCAAAGUAUUCCAAAAUUUAAUGACUGAGGCAAUAUCAGAUUCAAAAUUUAAACUUUGGCUUUUUAAUUUAAAAACCUAAAUUUUUAAAAUAGAAAUUUUAGCGUGCGAGCAAAUUUCAGUUGAUUCAUGGAGAUAUUUCAUCGAACACUUAGUGAGUUUGUUGUCGUCAGAUGAACUAUAUUACGAAUAUGUUAACAGAUAUUGACAUUUGCUAAAGCUAUAUAAUGAGUGCUAUUGAUAGCAUUCGUGGGUAGAUUUUGCUUCGUGAUCAUGGCAAAGCUUCAACAAGUUCUGAACUCAAUUGCUUUAUUAUAUUCUAUGCGUUUUCUUCAACAAAGUUAGGCUGAAAGAAUCGUUCACAUAAGAUAUUUGUCUCCUGAACAAGUCUUUCUUCCUUAAUUUUUCAAUAAUGACAAAAAAAAAGAAAAAAAAGCUACGAGAUAAUCAUACUAACUGAACAAGUUGCUCCCAUACAACAGUUAUCAGUGUUGACUCGUCAUGCGCACAAAGCUUUCGAACAACUAUAACAAAAAAGGCCCACAUUUCUCAAACUGUCUCGGAAGUUUGACUACCAUGGCGGAGAGCUUCUGCAUGCGGUUCAAGUACAACCUGCUAUGGAAGUGUUUAAAGAUUGAGAUGAAGUGGUGAUUCGUUAAGUAAAUUUUAUUUUUGUUGCAAACAUUGUUUUAAAAACUCCCAUCUAAGUGCUAUUCGGCUGACCACCACCCCGAUUAAUCCCUAAACAUUUGAAAAUAAAAAAUGGUACCUAAACCUGCCUAAGCGCCUACCUAGAUCGCCUAAGCGCCCUAGCCCACCCAAACCUACCUAGGUCGUGGCUCACUUCGAAAAUAGAUAACUUUCGUUUUGCUUUUUAUUUUUUUCAAUAAAUUGUAAAAGACUAGUCAAAUACUUAGAUUAACACAUAUUAUAUGCUUGUUCUCCAUGUUUUUAUUAUGAUUCAAUACUUUAUAAUAUGUAUGUCAUUAUAUUUUGUAGUUUAUCGUGAAAGUAUAUAUUUUUUAAGUAUAAACGUAGACACUUAUUUAUAUAAUAUAUAAUAAAUUUACUUAAAUCUGUUUUUUAUUAUGAUUCAAUACUUUAUAUAUGUCAUUAUAUUUUGUAGUUUAUCGUGAAAAUAUAUAUUUUUUAAGUAUAAACGUAGAUACUUAUUUAUAUAAUAUAUAAUAAAUUUACUUAAAUCUGUUUAAUCCUCCUAGGCCCUUGCCAAGCCGUCUAGCAUCUGACCCCAGGCCACCGCCUGGCCUAGCGUGUUUUAGAACUUUAGUUGCAAUACAUUGAGGUUCCGAUCCCCGCCCUGAAGAAGAAUGAGGUUUUGCUGAAAUUGGAAGCAGAUAGUCUCAACCAGUUGAUUGGAAAAUCAGAAAGGCGAGCUGCGGCCUCUUUUCCCCGGCAAAUUCCCUCAAAUACCUGGGAAUUCUGUUUCUCAUGUGAUUUGUGAUGUUUUUAUAAUUUUUUAUCUUCAACAUUCGUAAAUAAAACUUAUGCCAGAACACUAAAUAUAAUCUCUCAUUUGUGCUCGAUUCGUACGUGGAACACGUCCAGCGUUGUGGGUUGAUGGAUUAGUAGGAUUCUGUAACAAAAUUAUGUUGAAGGAUGAGUUGUUUUGGGAAUUUAAGCAUUCAAUGUCUUUGAGCUCUAGGCUGCUAUCUGUAGUGCAAAAUCUUUAGUGUAGACGGUUUUUAAUUCUCCUCUCUCUCUCACAUGACAUGACCAGCAACUGAUGUGGCCGGAGAGGUUGUAGAAGUUGGACAAGGUGCCAAAAAGUUCAAAUUCGGUGACAAAGUUGUUGUACUGCUCCGCCAUUUCGUAAGUGCUCGAUCGACUUAUUCCCCUUUUCUCUAUGAGCUACUUGUUUAUGCUUAGGAUUUUCACAUGUAAAAUUCAUGUGUUUGAUAGAGUGGAGGAGGACUGGCUGAGUUUGCUGCAACUAAUGAGAGAUUAAUGGUUGCUAGGCCACCUGAAGUUUCAGCUGCCGAUGGCGCAUGCCUACCGGUUGCCGGUCUCACAGCUCCCCAGGCUCUCGCCCAAUGUGGGGUCAAGCUUGACGGAACUGGUCAAAAUAAAUAACAUAUUGAUCACUGCUGCCUCUGGUGGCGUGGGGCACUAUGCAGUCCAACUAGCAAAGCUUGGGAUACUAACGUUACAGCCACAUGCGGGGCGUGUAACAUCGAAUUGGUCAAGAGCUUAGGGGCAGAUGAGGUUCUUGAAUACAGGACUGCGGAUGGGGCAGCUCUAAAGAGCCCAUCUGGACGAAAAUAUGAUUUUGUAAUCGACUGUGGAAAAGGCAUUCCUUGGUCAACUUUUGAGUCUAAUUUGAAUGCAAAAGGGAAGGUUGUAGACAUUUCUCCGAUGUGAGUUCUUUAGCUACUUUUGUAAUGAAGAAACAGCAGGUGCCACUGCUCAUGAUUCCCAAGGAUGUGAACCUAGAGUAUCUUGUUAAGUUGGUGAAGGAAGGGAAGCUGAAGCCAGUGAUUGACUCGAUGCAUCCUCUGAGCCAGGUUGAAGAUGCUUGGCUUAAGAGUAUCGAUGGCCAUGCUACUGGGAAUAUCAUUUUAAGCUUAGCUGAAGCAUUUAGUUGAACAUUUCCAAACAAAGAUCAUGCCUUUCAAUACCAACAAUUAUACAACUAAUCGCGGUUUGUCUGUCAUAUCAACGCAAACAGAGCAGACAGAAAGUAACUGGAACCCAAAUGAAAAGGACAAGGAUUGUCUGCCCUCCUCGUUCCCGUGCCCUCCUGUUUUGUGUGAUCACGGUAAAACCACGUCAACAUUUUAUAUUGUUUUUUUUAUAGAGAUAAUAAGACAAAAAUGAAUAGUAAUAUAAAAUGUUGACGUGAGUUAACCGUGACCACACAAACAGGAGGGCAUGUGAGGGCAUGGAAACAAAGAGGGCAGACAAUUCUUGUCCAAAUGAAAAACCUCGAAACAUUUUGGUCUCCCAAGUUAAAAUUUUGUUAGGCCACAAUAUAAAGUCUCGUUGCACUUGCAAGAAGCAAGAUCAAAGCCUUUUCCUUUGAUUAUUUCAAUCUUACAAACAACUCUGCAAGUCAAAUUUUUUAAUUUCCUGCCCCCAUAAUCUUGUUCAAAUCUUCGAACGUAAGAAACCAACUUAAAAGCCUAAUUCCCUACAUCAAUUCCAAUCCUAAACAUGAAAAUACAAACUUAAAAACUAUCGAUAUACCCUAAAAAGAACCAAAUUUUAGAAUGUAAUCGUAUCAGUUUAUAGUAUUUUAUUAAAGCACAACAAUCAACUCCACUCAUCUAUCUAACCCUGGUUCCACUGUAACGAGUGCAUUUUCGAUCACCACCCUUGAGAACUCCCGUUGAUUUCUUUUCUUAUGUCUGUACUUUCCUGCUGUUUAUGAUUCAUUGUUAUUACUCUGCGCAAAAUUGUUAAUUUUUUCAAAGUACUCAAAGUAUUAGCAUUAACUUACCAAAAUUUGAAAGUAACUGUUGUGGCCUAUUUAACUGAAGGGGAAUAGGGGGUGAAUAGGGGGUGAGGCAAGAGAGAGUAUGGAGAGAGUGUAAUGAUUUAUUAUGUGAAUGUUACUCCCUCUGCAGUGUCUUUAUUUAUAGUCGAGAAUAAGGAGAGGAUUAACUUGUCCUUCAAGUAAAUACAAUCCUAUAGGAAAAGUAUAACUAGCAACCAAAUGUAUCUAGGAUUUUUCAAUCCAAGAAUAUCUAUGACUUGCGAUUUUAUUUGUAAAACACUGCAAUUCAAAACAAAGCAUGGCCAAAACUAAGGCUCCACAAUUAUCUUUCCGGUAGCAUGGCCAUCGCUGAUCCUAUCCCAAGCGUCCUCCGCCUUGGCCAGGGGAUACUUUGAGUCAAUUAUAGUCUUCAGCUUCGCUUCUUUCACCAACUUAAUAAGAUACUCAAGGUUAUCAGCCUUGGGAAAUAAGAACAGUGGCACCAGUUGCUUCUUAGAAAAGGUAAGUUUCUUCAGUGCAACGCUAAACAGAGAGCUGGGGGUGGGAGUAACAUCUAUUACCUUACCGUUCGCACUCAAAUUAGGCUCAAAAGUUGACCAAGGAAUGCAUGUUGCACAGUGGAUCACAACAUCAUAUUUUCGACCAGAUGGACUCCUAAGAGCUGCACCUUCUGGGGUCUUGUAGUCAAUAACCUCAUCA
rnacentral:lncRNA from 1 species